UUUUUUUUUUUUUUUUUUUUUUGUACUUCUCUCUGCUGUAUUUUGGUUUUAUAGAGAAAAAGAAAAAAAUGCUCGCUCAUUUCCUUACCAUUAUCAUCUCAGAUUUAAUACUUCACACUGUAUUAGUAGUAUUAGUGUAAUAAUAAAGACGGUAUUUAUUUACUUUCUUUCGUAUAAUUCGUAUUUAUCAUCGAACAGAUUCAGUUUUUGACCCUAUAAAAAUAUAGAAAAUUGGCCAAUGAGAUAGCGCCUAAUUAUAUAUAUAUAUAUAUAUAUAUAUAUAUUUUUUUUACCCUUUCACUUUUUAUUUGGGAAAUCCAGCUCACUACUUCUGCCUUGAAUUUAAAGCUCAUUCGUAUUUGGUAACUUGUUUCAACAACCCACUUAAAAAUCAAAAACCUCUCUAGUUACUAAAACUAUUAUUUAGAUCAGGUCUAGCUUUUGAUCUCUGAAAGGGAAAGAAAACCUUAGAAAACUUAAGUGGAAAACUAUAAAGGAAAGAAGAAAAGAAAAAAUGGAACAAGUAGUAGUAGUAGAUUCCUCCUGCUGUGAGAUCGAUCAUAACUCAUAAAUGACCAGAGGAAAUGGAAGAAGAAGAAAAUCCCAAGCUGUAAAGAUCAUAAAUUAAUUACCGAGGAAGCAACGUAGUGAAGUCAAUCUGUAGCUGUCGAAAACAGAGAACCAUACGUCAUACUCGACGAAUCAUAAACGUUUCGUUCAUUUUUCCUUUUUUAUUCUUUUUCAUAUAUAAUACGUAAUAUCCUUUUCUCUUUGGGAGCCAUUUUUCUUCUUUUACCGCUAAAGUGAAGUGCAGAAAGAGAUACAGAGAGAUAGAGAGAUACAAAACAUACAAUCCAAAGGUUUCUUGUUCCCGGAAAUGGAGGUCUCUCCGUCGGAAGACAAACUCGUUGGCUCCGUCGACGGCGAAGCUGUUCCUACACAAGUAUCCGACAUAAAAAACGAAGCUUUAGACAUUUGUCGGAUUUUCCAAUCACCGGAGGAACCAGACAAUCCGUUGAGACAUCCGUGCGCGUGUCGAGGCUCUCUCAAGUUCAUCCACUCAGAUUGUCUUUUUCUCUGGCUCAAUCGCCGUAAAUGCAACCAUUGCGAGGUCUUUAUAUCCUUUUUUCAUAAACUCUGUUUCUGCAACGAAUUUGGUUUAAAGUUUACUGCUUUUUUUUUUAUGUGAUUUGAGGAAUAAAUCUUCUAAAAAGUCUCUCUUUCUCUUUUUCUUUCUCUACUGCAGAUUUGUAAGCGACGCUACUCAAUUGUUCCUGUUUAUUCCGAGAACGCUCCAGAGAGACUAUCAUACCACGAAUUCUUAAUGGGAUUGCUACUGCGAGCACUACGUUUCAUGGCUUGGAUUCUUCCUUGGAUCUUGAUGAUUCCUUUCAACGCGUAUUGCUUUUCUCUUCUUCCUUGUGACAAGGAGGACUUUGUGAACCACACUGUUUUUGAACUGUCCUUGAAAUUUCCUGGCCUGUUUUACACUGCUGAGAUAGUCUUUAGUACCACCUUUAUGGUUGUUCUUGUGGAAAUCAUGAAAGAGCUUUUAAGGAUACACCCCGAGUUUUUACGUCUUAUGAUCAUCUUAGAUAAUGCUCUAAAUGAUAGAGACGUUACUGGCAUUUUGCUGUUGUUAGCAAAUCAUUUUCAUAUCCUGUGCGACUGGUGGCAUGAUCAGCUCUUACACUUGCCAUUUCUCCAUAUCUUUUAGAGGGGACCUCUUCCACUAGUGUUUGUUCCUAGAAACACGCCGCUUCAUCACUUUGGAGCCAUCAGAAGCUUUUUUUUCCUUUUGAAUGACAACACUUUUGCUGUGAGUCUUUUGCUCUCUAUAGUCAAUUACUCUUACAUAAAAGAAAAAAAUCAUGCUAUUCCGGAUUAACGUUGAUUAAUGUUUCACGAGUAACAGAUUCUUCUUCUUUCUCUUGUCUCUACAGGUUCUUGCCAUCAACAUAUAUUGGUCUUUUUUCAACGUUCUUUUACCAUUUUCGAUUGGCCGAGGUGUCUUGUUUCUUCUACGCUGUUUCCCACAUGGUUGGAUUGCGGAAUAUCCAUCUGAAGUGGCUGCGGGUGAAAUGGUUAUAUCAUCAGUUUGCUUGGCUUACCUUGGAAGUGUCUUUCCUCUGCUUCCAAACACAUAUCUAACAAGAGGCAGAUGGUUUUUACCGUCAGUUAAAGAUACAUUCAUCUUGUGUUUUAAACUCGGUGUUCUGCCUUGGAUGCUUGGUUUCUGGCUAGAUUUCUGCACUUCCCCUAUAUUGGGAAUUACAAUUUCCCAAAGCAUUGAUGUUCUUUCAGACUAUCCAGCCCUGGCUACCAAACAUUGGCGUGUGGGAAUGUUGUAUAGGUUCUGAAUGUUUCUUAAUAUUAACAAAUGACCAAUUACAAGAAUAUAUAGUACAGAGGAGACAUAGGGUAAAAAGUAUUUACAAGAUAAUCCCUAUAUUCUAUUUACUUAACCAUAUCCUUCUAUACGCCCCCUCAAGAUGGAGGGAGCUGGAUUACUCCAAUCUUGGAACAUGCUUGCUGAAACUGCCCUCUCGGAAGUGGUUUGGUAAGUGUAUCAGCCAACUGGUCGUGUGUAGAUACAUGAGAAACCCGUAACAUGUUGGACUGAAUCUGAUUCCUAACAAAAUGAUAGUCAAGAGCAAUAUGCUUCAUACGUGAGUGGAAGACAGGAUUCGCACAAAGAUACGUAGCGCCAACGUUAUCACAAUAUAUCACUGGAGUAGAAGGUAGGUUCAAGCGUAGUUCAGUGUAUAAAGAACAUAACCAUCUCACCUCCGCAGCCGUAUUCGCAACAGCCCGAUAUUCAGCCUCAGUGGAGGAGCGAGCCACACCUUUUUGCUUAUUUGAUGACCAAGAAAUAGGAUUGCGUCCAAUAUAUAUGACAUAACCAUUUGUGGAGACAUAAUCAUCUGUAUCACCAGCCCAGUCUGCAUCCGAGUAUCCUUGAAGUUUAUAAGGUGACGUAGAGAAGCAAUGUAGUNNNNNNNNNNNNNNNNNNNNNNNNNNNNNNNNNNNNNNNNNNNNNNNNNNNNNNNNNNNNNNNNNNNNNNNNNNNNNNNNNNNNNNNNNNNNNNNNNNNNAAGAGGCAUGAAGAUAAAUCCCAUGAGUAGUAGUACCAGCAAGAUAUCGAAGAAUGCGUUUGGCAGCUUGCCAAUGAUCAUGUGUCGGACGAUGCAUAAAUUGGGAUAGACGAUUGACUGCAUAUGAGAUAUCUGGCCGAGUAAAAGAGAGGUAUUGUAAACUCCCCACAACAGAUCGGUAUUGUGAAGCAUCAUCAAGAGCGAGGCCACUGUUCACUGUAAGCUUUGGCGUCGUACGAAGUGGUGUUGAGGCUGAUUUAGCAUCGAGCAUGUUAGUCUUGAGUAGAAGGUCAGUAAUAUACUUCCUUUGCAUAAGAUGUAUACCACUAGAGGAGCGUGAAACCUCAAUGCCCAGAAAGUAAUGAAGAUCAACAGGAUCUUUGAUGGAGAAACGAUCAGCAAAGGAGGUUAAAACUGAUGCGAUUGUGUCAGAGUGAUUACCGGUAACGAUGAUGUCAUCGACAUAGACAAGAACAUACGUGAGAUGAGACCCGGAUCCUCGAAUAAACAGUGAGGCAUCAGCAAGAGAAUUAGUGAAACCAGCAUGUAGAAGAUGUUGUUUGAGAGCCAUAUACCAGGCGCGAGGUGCUUGCUUAAGCCCAUAGAUCGGUUUCUUCAAGCGACAUACAUGCAUAGGUCUAUCUUUAUCAACAAACCGUUCUUUCAAGCCCUACUUAGGCAAGUGCCAGCUGUGUAACACUCAAGGACACAGUGCUCGUCGUUGUCCACAGCUCCUCUCACUUCAGUCUAGCUCCAACAGUAACAGCAGCCCCUUUACUCCUUGGCAGCCGCGUGCAAACAUGGCAGCAAUUGUUGACAGUGGAGCUACACACCACAUUACCUCUGAUUUAAACAAUCUCUCGCUGCAUCAACCUUACACCGGUGGAGAUGAUCUCAUGAUUGCUGAUGGCACUAAUAUGUCCAUCACUCACACGGGUUCAAUGCUUCUUCCUUCUCAAACUCGCGCUUUAAAAUUAGAUAAAAUUCUUUGUGUUCCUAAUAUACGCAAGAAUCUUAUCUCCGUGUAUCGUCUUUGCAACGCUAACCGCGUUUCUGUUGAAUUCUUUCCUGCUUCAUUUCAGGUGAAGGAUCUCAGUACGGGGGUCCCAUUACUCCAAGGCAGAACGAAUAAAGAGUUGUAUGAGUGGCCAGUUGUGAAUCAAAAUGCUGUAGCAAUGCUAUCUUCGUCUGGUCCAAGAACAAGUCUGUUUUCAUGGCAUUCACGCUUAGGCCAUCCUUCUUCUUCCAUUUUAAACACUAUUCUCUCUUCCUUUUCACUUCCUGUUGCAACUUCUACUCAAAAAUCAUUAUCAUGUUCUGAUUGCCUUAUUAAUAAAAGUCACAAGCUUCCAUUUUCUCAAACCUCUAUUACUUCAAAACGUCCUCUUGAAUACAUUUUUUCUGAUGUUUGGACCUCUCCAAUAUUGUCUCUCCAAAACUACAAAUAUUAUCUUGUUCUUGUUGAUCAUUUUACUCGGUAUACAUGGCUCUAUCCGCUGCGAAGAAAGUCUGAUGUGAAAGAAGUCUUUACGGUUUUUAAAGCUCUUGUUGAAAAUCGUUUUCAAACAAAGAUUGGGACGCUAUUCACUGAUAAUGGAGGGGAAUUUGUGGCUCUGCGGACUCUUCUUGCAACACAUGGCAUUACUCAUCUUACCUCUCCGCCCCAUACUCCUGAACAUAAUGGCUUGUCAGAACGCAAACAUCGUCAUGUCGUCGAAACUGGCCUCACUCUCAUGUCCAUGGCGUCAAUACCGAAAGAACAUUGGCCGUAUGCCUUCGCAACCGCUGUCUAUUUAAUCAACCGUAUGCCCACACCAGUGUUAGCUCUCCAAUCACCAUUUCAGAAGCUUUUUCAUAGACCUCCAAAUUAUGAAAAGUUACGAGUUUUCGGUUGUCUCUAAAACCUAAAAUUUUCUUUUGCUCUGAUACCAUAUAGGUUCUGAAUGUUUCUUAAUAUUAACAAAUGACCAAUUACAAGAAUAUAUAGUACAGAGGAGACAUAGGGUAAAAAGUAUUUACAAGAUAAUCCCUAUAUUCUAUUUAUUUAACCAUAUCCUUCUAUAUGUUGUACUUGAUAGUUGCUAUAAGCUGCAUGGAGCUUAUCCAAAAGGUAACAUUUGAAUUCGAAUUUUUGUUUAAUCCUCAGGCAUUAUCAGAUAUACUCAUUUUUUCUUCUUGCUUUUGGUAUCAGAUACUUCAGAAACGAGUCUUGUGGUAUCUGCUAGAUGUUGCAGAACCAAACUACAAAAUCACCAAACUGCAUCUUGGUCCCAUUCUCUUGGCGUUUGCUUUGCAUGGAGUAAUGGUGGUGAUUGUGCUUCACCUACCAAUAAAAACAAUCAGUCUCAUCAGCCAGUCCUUUUUCCCUCUCCAAAUUGGGUAAGCUCCUCUGGGCUUUACCACAUAAUUUUUUUAAAAUUUCUGGAUUCUUGAACAAUAUGUAUUACGGGAUUGCAGGGUCUACGAGGAGGAUUCUGCGCUUCGUUUACUUAUUGCUUAUACGUGCCUAAUUAGAUUUGGCCCCUGGUGGUUAGUCAGCUUAAUUAGACCAUCCAUCAGACCCAUAGUUCACAAGUGGAUUAUCACUAUCAGUUCUUUGCUCAAGUUAAGUGAUUUCUUGCUCGGAGAUCCCCUCAGAGACCGUGCAAAUCGUAAUGUGAGACCGCUGUUUCUAGUAUUUGGCCUAGCUGAAGGCUCUAUGGUCAGUUUGUAUGGAUCUCAAAGCGAUACCACCUGUGAAGAGGAUACAAACGACCAACGAGAUAAAAGGUAACCCGGUAACAAGCUUUUUAAUUCUGGUACAAUAUUCAUUCUGAUUAGUUGAAGUUUCAGGUUUAUGCUGAGGAUUGGAGUGAUGUUUGUUCUAGCUGCUCUGAGUAUGUUUCUUGUUAGUACAACCUUCAUGGCUCUACCACUCCUAGUGGGAAGGGAGUUCUUCCACUCUAUCUCUUUCUUCACGAUAAGUUUCGGAUUCAAACACGACGGUUUGUAAUUUCUGAAUCUUGCCUCAUACGUAUAUCUCUCCUUUGAUUUGUGCUUCUAAUUAUGUUUAAAAGUGCCUCUCUUCAAAUCAAUCAUUUUAGAUCUUUGUGCUUUCUCGAUUGGAUUCUGUAUCCUGCGAGGACUCUAUAUCGUCACUUGCUUCGUCUAUGAUCAUCUCGUGACGGAAAAAACAGAUUUACUUGUCAACCAUGUCCUGAUCUUCAUACGGAAUGUCUUGUUAUUCUCCAUCUGGGUAACAAGACUCAAAUAUCUGUCAUUGAAUAUUAUGACUUUUGAAUCAUCUUUUGUUGUGAACAUUUAUAUGUAUAACUUGUAAACCCUGAUGAAUAGAUCUCCAUCAUACCGGGAUUGCUCGGUCUCCUUAUUGACCUUAUGAUCAUCAUACCAUCACAAGUUCUGCUAGAUGAAUCCUCAGUAUAUAUCUUGUACCACAAUUGGUUGAUCGGUGUGGUUGUCCUUCACAUCUGGAUCAUUCUGGUAAGAGUGUUUUUUUUUUCCAAUCAAGAACUUAUAUUCUUCAACUGCUUCAGUCAAGAACUUAUAUUUUUACUGCUGAACAAGUAACUGUUUUCUUCCCGCGCAGACUAUGUACACUGGGAUCAACUGUUUCACGACUGUGGCAUGGCGGGAAAAGCUGCAGAGAAUCAGAAGCGUUGGAAUCAACCGACUUCCUUUUAAGUGGCUGAUUCGAGACGUUAUUGAUUCGAUCAUAGUGUCCCUGUUAUUCACUCUAUGUGUUCCCUACGUGGUGGUGAACUCUCUGUUCCCGAUUCUUGGAUUUUCCAGUGAAGUCAACUUAGCCGUCCAGCGGUUCAUUUGGCCGGCGAUCCUAACCUUAAUCCCCAUAUGGUUUAUUGUCAAGCUCAUUCGUGUUCUUAUCACUUACAUUCACCAACUGGAAUUUGAUAAUCGAUACAAAGUGGGAGAGAGGCUGAUGGAUCUCACUGACGAGCAGGCUGGAGUAACAACGACCAAAACCAAUGGCUAACGAUAGAGAAUAGUCUUCAAUUAUAAGUACAUAUACAGUUUCUUAUGUUGUAGUAUCUCUUAAGUAACUAAUCUAUGAAAUGCAAACACCUUAAGACGAUGAUUAGGAUUCAAAAUUUUAAACAAAAGAUAGUUUCAUAUGUUUAAUAUCUCAUUUAUAUUCACCGACUGGAAUACGAAGAUAGAUACUAGGUGGGUGAUUCGUCUUCAUUGAAGAUUAUGAAGAAUGGAGUUUCUUUGGGGCGUUGAGUUUCAUAAGUAUGAUAAUGGAUAUUGCACUUGUGUAGAUAGCUUCUGAUAUGCAAUUGGUAAGAUUGAUUAGUUUCAAAAUGUGAUGUAAGUUUUUUAUUCUCAACAACAUAAUGUACAACAGAGGUAUUUUCCAGAAUAAAUGUAUAGCCAAACUUGAAACUGGAAUACUAUUGUUUGGUGCUAAUAAGUAAAGGGAGCUUUAGAAUCUAACCAAAAAAACUUGAGUAAAAUUCUACAUUUUAUGGCGAUCAUUGUUAUUUAGACACACUUGCCUCAUCUGAUUUUUGCUUCUUCUCAACUUGAGCUCGUAAAGAACGGAUGAUCAAGAGCUUCAUUUGCUGUGAGACGCUCAGAUGGAUCAUAUGUCAGUAAACCAUACAACAGAUCUGCAAAUCUGGAUCUUGUGUUGUCAACAUGUUUCGAUAGCAUAUCCUGCAAGAAAUGUGAGCAGCUUCUACUUCAGAUUACGGCAUAUCGGACAAAAGAUAUAUCAUUGGACAAUGAGAAUUUAAUUGCGCUUAAACCUUGAGACGAUCGAGUCUUUUUACAGCUCUAAUACUCUCUCUAGAAUUGGCUCCUUCUGGCCAAUUCAGCCUAUACCCUCUCCUGAAAUAUUUCUCAGCACCUCGGCUGCAAAAACAUAAUGACCGUACAUGCAACAAGUGAUUAGCAUUUAUGCCUCUGUGGACUUUCGUGUUCCCAAAAGUUUGUGGAAAUAUAAAGCUAACCUGGCUUUUCGGGUCAUAUGUUCAGGCAAAGGUCCCAAUGCCCUCUCCAUCAUAGCUAGAUGUUCUAAGUUAUCAUGCGUCUGAAAGAGAGCCUCACCCUAAAGUAGAGAAAGAUGUUGACAAUUGUAAGCAAAGCUACUCAAAAUUAGGAGAUAAGAAUUCAUACAACAAGAUGAAAAAAAGACUUUACCGUGCAUAGUUCAAAUAGUAUACAACCUAUACUCCACAAGUCACACUGGUAACUCCAUCCUAGACCUGCAAUAAUAUGCAACUGGUUAGUUACCAAAAAAUAAGUAUGUUCAUUCAAUGGUAAGUGUCAGCUACACAAUCCGCAAGCAUGCAUCGACAAGCAAAUAACUUAUUUACUUACCUAAAAUGACCUCCGGGGACCUGUAAUGCCUUGUUUGGACAAUGGAGUGAUGAAUCCGGUUAUCACAAACAGUACUGCCAAAAUCAAUCAGCUUAAUGGCGCUUGACUUUGGUAAGCAUCUGAAAUGUGUCUCAUUUGACGAACUCCUCUGUUAAUUAAAAUCAAACACCAAACUGUCAGAAGUGCAAACUCUUUAAAGGACGUUUUUUUCUUUACAAAAACUAGCCUAUCAAAACUAGAUAGGCUGUACCCAAACCCAACCUUAACCUAAUUCAGUUCUAGAUACCUUAUUGUCAGGAAGUUUUACAUUUUCAGAAGACACCAGAAGAAUGUUUUCAGGCUUGAGGUCGGUGUGAACUAAUUGUAACUCGUGCAUAUCUGUAGAUAAGAAAAAAAAUUAUGUUAAGAGCAGAGAGGCAUUAGGUACUAGGUAGGAACUACAGCUACUGACCCCAGACAGAAAAAAACGGUUAAGAUAAACAUGCUAGGUACGAAAUUGUAUUAAAGAACAGCAGAAAGGAACAAUCACAGACAUGCUACAGAUUCCAAAAGCUGGCAUCCAAAAUCCCGAACAAGGGCCAGAGGAAAUGCGGAGUAUUUAUUUCUCUUAAGAAAGUCAAACAAACUUGGCCCAAGCUUCUCGAACACCUGGUAUCACCAUUAGAAUCCAUUCAAAGGAAGGUUUUGUUUAGUUCCAGACUUCAUUGACAAAAUCCACAUGGAUAAACUAACUACCACAAACACUAUACACGGAUUGGAUUUUUGUUACUUGGGCAUCAAAACAAACGAAAGGUAGCCAUAAUGAUUAUGAUUAAUUCACUUCUUACAAUAACAAAGCUCACAAGUCACUGAACAUAGAACCAAUUAAUUAUUAGAGAUGCAUUUCAAUGGUGGUAGAAAUCAGUGAAACUUGAUUGGGACACUUACAAUGCAAAUAUGAUUCCGGUAAUCAAACCAGUCCUUCAUCUGUACACAGCUGCAAGGACAAAACAGAAAUGAAGAAACUGAGCAAUUAUAUAUACACAUAUGUAGGAAACAAUGUAACUCUUGCGAUCAUCUAGAAUCUAGAAGAAAAAUAAAUACCGUGUGCGGCCUUUAUCACUCUUAACAAGUUUUUGAAGUACAUCAAUUUCAAUCAUUGCUGCAUCCCGGUAUUUCUUAAUGCUUCGGAUGAUCUUUAUUGCCACAUAUUCUUUUGUAUCACGAUCCCAACAUUCCAAAACCCGACCAAAUGUGCCUACAACACCAGCAAGUUCACUGAAAUGGCACGAUUUGAUUCACAUAAACAGUUUUUUAUCUCGAACACACCAUGCCACUUGACAGCUAACCUUCACCCAUCUUGCUUAGUAUUUUAUCUGUCGUAACAGAACACACAAUCACGUAAGUUAACAGCUUAAAAUGUUCAUACAGGAUUCUUAUGUCAAUGAAACAAAACCGGAAAAAAAAAAAAAAAAGGAUCAUCUCUGAGGCAAUACUAGUAACAAUGCACGUAUACUAAGUACCAUGUAAUUUAAAGACACGGUAAGUCAAUGUCUUAGUUCGCACAGAACAGAAAACAAUCAAAUAAAUUCCUGAAGUUGUAAUAAACUCACAUCUAGGAGUGAGAUUCUCCCUCAAACUGAAAACAUAAUGACCGUCACGAUCAUCCUCCCUUAAAGGUGGAGACGAAAACCUCCCAUCGCUUCCAUGCCCUUUAACCACAGCUCUUUUAGCCUAUCCCCAAAAAAGUCAAAAACCAAUGUCAGCGUAUCAAAACCUCACAAAGAAUCAAAAUACAUAAAUGAUUGGUCUUUCCUCCACAUUCUAACCCUAACUCUUCUAAUUUCCAAAUGUCAAGGAGUAAUAAGGGAAGAAGAAAAAGAGCAACCUCAGGUUCAUGUGGAGGCUCGUCCCAGGUCAUACGAGGACGUUUUCUGAUUCGUUCUUUAUCCAUCUUCUCGAAUCCGUUAGCUAUCAUCACCGACGUCGAGAGUCGAUCACCGACGCAUCCAGAAGGGAAUCUGAUGCCAAAUCUGCAGCUAAAAGAGGGAAAAUUCUACCAGACGUAGAUAAUAAAAGCACAAGGCGGCGAAUCGAAUCGAGCGAAGGGCGGCGAUUAAUCUUUGCCGAAAUGGUGGGAAGAGAGGAGGAGGAGGAGUAGCUAGGUUUUCGAACGAGUGCAAAGAGAGUGAUUAAAAUCUCAGGCAAUUUUUACCGGACAAAUCCAUUGGGGUCGAUUCGCGACAUCCACCAAUUGCAUUAUUUUUGCACUUUCCUGAGGCGAAACAACUCUACCCGAUGAUGAUGAUGACCCGUAAAUACUGCCCACCCGGCCCAUUUUAUAUGUGUUUAAAUCUGUUACAAUUUUGGCCCAAAAGCCCAUCAUGGAUCUACCACGACAAUGCACCUAUUUUUAUAAAUUUAAAACGUGACAACAACAUCGACGAUCACCAUCACAUAUACAUGCAUGCACCGGAAAAAAGAAGUUCAUAUUAUUCAAUUAAAAAACUUAAAAUGAUUAAUACCGAUUAUACCGAUUAUACCGUAGUGUAUUCAAAUCAUACCAUAGGGGUUUCUUAUUUUACUAUAUAGUUAUUUUUGUUUACUAUAUAAUUACUCUUAUUAGAAUCAUGCAUGCUCGCAAUUAUGAGUUUUAUGACAUGUAUUUCAUUUGUUUAUUAGUACUAGUAUUGUUUUGUUCGUUUCUACCCAAAAAAAAGUAUUGUUUUGUUCGUUUUGUUUUCAACAUUACUACAGUAUUCGAUUCGUGUCAGGACUCAUUUAAUAACAACAACAACAACAACAUAAAGUCAAGAUUUGACUUUUGAGAAUCUCAAUAUUUCAACUAUAAUAUUAAAAUAAUACUACUAGCUAACUAUUACAAAUAAAUAAUUAAUCAUAAGGAGAAAAAAGAACCUUAUCCCUUAUCGUAGAUCUCGAUUAUCAAUUACUUACACCUGAUGUCACCAUUAAAUAGGUGGCAACAAGAAGCCUUCUGCAAAACAAACAACAAGGUUAUAAUUCCAAAGAAAUAAAUUUGUAACACAAACAUUAACAAAGAAAAAGGGUUAACGUAAAUUCAUAAUACAAUACAUUGAAAAAAACUACUAUAAGAUAGUUAUGUAGCUUUCAUGUUACCGUAUUAAAAUAAAAUAAAAAAGUCAACACAAAUCGCUCACCUCCUCCUCCUCAUAAUUAAACAAUUUAGUAUAUAAAAUAUGAAAAAGAUGUAGAGAGAAAUUAAGUAUGCAAGCUUGAAUUGGGAUCAUCAGAGAGAAAAGAAGAAGAAAAAGAGAUGUCGACGACGACUUCGGAGGCGAGGUCACCGUUGCCGUUGUUGUUAAGAAGAGGAAGGUCUUCGACGGCGAUAUCAACGGCAGCUGAAGCGAGAUCGCCGUUAUCGGCACUGCAGUUCAGAAGAAGGUCGAGCAAAGAUGUGAGGAACAUAACAUCGGUUUCGAGCAGUCUCUUGCCUGCGUUUGGUACUGUCAUCGAAGAAGACAACCCUUCUUCCAAACCUUUCAUUGUUCUUCACUUUGAUCGUCGUUACAGGUUCCUACGCAUAUAUAUGCACCCCUUUCAUAUUUUCUCAUUAGCUACUUAUCCUUUUUUUUCUUCUUCUCUUGAAGAUUAGUCUAUAACAUAUAUAAAUGUUUUUAUUUAGUAAUUAUUUGUAAUGAUAUAGAAGUGUGAUUAAUUUGUUGCUUUUUGGUAUUUUUAGGUUAGUUCUUUAAUUGUCUCUAAAUAACAUUAAUUAAAUCAGAUUGUGGGAGUUGUUUUUGGUAAUACUGGUGGGAUAUUCAGCGUGGGCAUCAUUGUUCGAGUUGGCAUUCGAGAAAGCAGCAGAAGGAGCUUUCAUGACCAUUGAUCUCGUCGUUGACUUCUUCUUCGCCGUUGAUAUCAUCCUCACUUUUUUCGUUUCCUACUUGGAUAAUACUACUUACCUCAAUGUCACCGACCACAAGCUUAUCGCCAAACGGUAAUCUUUUAUCAUCAUCAUCACUAACAACAACAUUCAUGAAUUCGUUAAUUCGUUAGUAUUAAAGAAUAUGUGCAUUAUUAUUAAUUUAGGUACUUGAAGAGCGUGGCUUUUGUGAUGGACGUAGCAUCGACGUUACCUAUUCAAUUCAUUUAUAAAACUAUUACCGGAAACGUCGGACGAGGCCAAGCUUUCGGCUUCCUUAAUUUGCUCCGCCUCUGGCGUCUCCGUCGUGUUACUGAACUCUUUAAAAGGUUUUUUUUUUUUAUUUACUCUCUAGUCUCUCUACUAUAUAGUAUUUAUAUCAUUAUAUAACUUGGGAGUCUUGGACAUCAUAUAUAUAAUCCUCCAUAUAUCUUGUUAAUUACAGACUAGAGAAAGACGCAUAUUUCAACUACUUCGUUACAAGAGUCAUUAAACUUCUGUGUGUAAGUUUUUUUUUUUAGUUGAGUUAUCACUAAUACGUAUAGUACCUAAUAAGGUGGUCUAAUGUUAUAAUUUCAUUACCAAAUUAAACUGCCAAUCACUAAAUUAAUUUGAUAUAGGUAACGAUAUUUUGGAUUCAUUUGGCGGGUUGCAUUUUAUACUGGAUAGCCUACCAUUAUCCAACCCCUACAGAGACAUGGAUAGGAUCACAAGUUGAGGAUUUUAAGGAGAGAAGUGUAUGGUUAGGCUACACUUACUCAAUGUACUGGUCCAUUGUCACACUCACUACCGUCGGUUACGGGGAUUUGCAUGCCGUUAAUAACCGUGAGAAGACAUUCAACAUGUUCUACAUGCUUUUCAACAUUGGCCUCACUUCUUACAUCAUCGGUAUCAUGACCAAUCUUGUUGUCCAUGGCGCUAAUCGUACAUUUGCCAUGGUAACCUUUCUUGAAAUCCAAGAAACCUUUAUAUAUGAAACCUUAAAUAAAAUAUAUGUAUAUACAGGGGAGGGGACAUCAGCUCUAAUAAUGCAAUAAUAAUGUUCUUCCUGUUGGACAGAGGAGUGCGAUCAAUCAUAUAUUGCGGUACACGAGCAAGAACAGGUUACCUGAUUCAAUGAGGGAGCAGAUGCUUUCACAUAUGCAGCUCAAGUUCAAGACCGCCGAGUUAAGGCAGGAAGAGGUUCUUCAAGACUUACCAAAGGCUAUAAGGUCAAGCAUUAACCAGCAUCUGUUCCGUUCCGUCAUGGAGCAAGCUUAUCUUUUCAAAGGAUUCCCUGAUAACCUCAUCGUCCAGCUGGUGAUCCAUCGUCAACAGUUUCAUUUCUUUUCUUCUUCUCUCUGUUCCUUGUUAACCAAGACAUUAUUAAUUAUAUGUUGUUGUUUUUGGUAGGUUUCGCAGAUAAAAGCAGAGUAUUUUCCGCCGAAAAUGGAGAUAAUCUUGCAGAAUGAGAUUCCAACAGAUUUCUACAUUAUUGUAUCUGGAGGAGUGGUAUGAUAACCUAGCUUGUCCUUUAUAUGUACGUAUACUCUAUUAUAUAUAUUUGACUUCAGUUGAUUUAAACAAAAUUUGGAAUCACAGGAUAUAAUUUCAUCCAAGGGUAUGAGUCAACAGGUAAAAACUCUUAAGCUAAUUUCAGUGAUUAAGUAAAAAAAACUACAUUAUAAUAAAGUGUUUGAAAGAUUGUUGAAGAGUUGGUCCAUAAAUGGUGAAGGUAUUGACGAAGUUAGGUCCCGGAAGUAUGGCAGGAGAGAUUGGAGUGGUGUUGAACAUACCUCAGCCUUUCACUGUGAGGACACGAGGACUUUCACAAGUUAUCCGAAUCGGUCAUCAUAACUUCAAAGAAAUGGUUCAGUCUGACAAUGACGUCGACGCCAAAAUGAUCAUCACCAAUUUCAUGAAUGUAAGUUCAUCAGAUUUUACAAAACAGUUUGUAGAGCAUCAACAAUGAUUAUAAUAUAAUAUUACCAGAGUAAUUACUAACAUUUUUUUGUUUCUUUUUCUUUCAGUAUCUCAAAGGAUUGAAUGAUGAGUUAAAGAAAGAACUUCCUUUUCUUAGAGAUUUAUUAGCUGACGCAGAUGCUCAGGUUCAAGUUCAGGUAUAACUAAUUUUAUAAACCAAGCCCAUGCAUGCAUGUAUUAAAUAUAUAUAUGCAUAGUCCUCUCUUCACGGUCUUUAAUUGAUUUUGAGGUGAAAUCUCAUUAUUUGGUGACAGGAAACAAUUCAGACAGAGGAAACACCACAAAGUAACGAUGAGGAGAUAGCCACGGUCCCAAGAGAUGAAAAUGAACAGAGUAUGAAGACAACUUUUGUAGAUUUUGAACUAUGAUUCUUAUGUAUAUAUAUAUAGACCCCUUAAAAAAAAAAUAUUGUUAUUUGAUUGCAGAAGAAGAGAGACGAAGUGAGGGAGUUCCCAAAAGAGUGAUAAUUCAUGGAAAACGUCCUAAUCAAGAUAACAACAACAAUGGUGAUUCCAACGGUAGACUUAUCAUUUUGCCUGAUUCUAUCCAACUUCUGUUCGACUUAGCUGGUCAGUUUCACUCUUUCACUACUUAUGUGUUACUUUGCUUCUCUUUAUUAUUUAGAUAUAUUUACAUAUAUGAAUCCUGUGAGAGAAUUAACUAAACAAAAAGUGACCGUCCAUUUAAAUGUUUCUUUAUCGUAUACAAAGUACUCGCACACAUGUUGUCAUAUAAUAUAAAACUCGAUCGGUUUAUUGGUGGAUGCAGAGAAGAAGUUGGGGAAACGAGGAAGCACGAUUACCAUGGCAGACGGUGCACAUGUUGAACAAAUUGAUGCCCUUCGAGAAAACGAUCAUUUAUAUAUUUUCUAAUUCGUUUUCAAAUAUAUAUAUAUAUAUAUAAAUAUCACAAUGAUCACCUCCCACACAUACAUACUAAUAAUGAUAUAGAAAAACAAUAUUUUUGUCACCGUUAACGACUUAACGUGCUUAUGAAAAAAGCCAAGUUAGACAUGCAAAUAUAAGGUGAACAUCAAUCGAAUGUCUAGUUCCAUUAUCUUUUUCACAUCUUGAACUCGAUAUUUUGUUCCAUUGAAGAUUGCAUUUGCAUACAACGUACACAAGUGUUACAGUGUUGUAUACAUUUCAGUAUUUUCAUCUUAUAUUUGCAUAUCUAACAAGAAAGGUUUGAAAUGAUAAAAAGAAAAUAACAAUUAUUUGAUAUUUUACACUGCAUUGUACAUCAAAAAGAUUUAUUUGUCCCUUCGGCAACAACCAGCAAAAGAAAAAUAUUUGAAAGGAAAUUCUUAGUUCGAACUCAAAUAAAACAUGAGAAGGAAAAGUAACCAUACAAAAUGGAUAAGCUAAAGCUAUAUAAGACUCUUUUGUAUCUUUAUAGGGGGAAGGAAAAGUGGAGACUAUUAUCUAAGUACACAUUUCGAAUGAAGUGAAACUUCUCAAGCAGCCAUAAGAACGAUGCCCUUUCCCCUUCUGCUAUGCUUUUCUACCGUAAAAUUCUGAACAUGACACAGAUGGGAGGAGAUGACAUUUAGAGAAACUUUUGUACGGACUCCUAGAAAUCAGAGGAUCAGUUCAUUUUGAGUUGGAUUUGGCGAUGGACUUGCACGAGGAACUCCACAUAUGAUGGGCCGCUUGCUGUCCUAUCCUCUACCAUAUACGAGAGAAACAACAUUCCUGAAUAGUACCAAAAAUCAGAACAACAAAUCAGCAUCUACAAAUUUUUAUGAAAUCAGCAAUACCAAGCAUGUUCAUGAAUUCCAAAUAUAUAUUGUUUAUGUAACUCCUUAUGCAUGAACAAGGUCUUUUCCAUAGAGAUUAGAUAAUUCUAUAUGUGGAAUAUGUCAGGUGGUUAAGACAAGACCACGAAACUAGACAUUGGUACUAUCUGCAGACAGGAGCUAUGCUGUUACUAUUAGUGUAAGACUGAUCAUUUCACAAGCAGGAAAAGAUAAAUAACAUGUAGCCUCUGUAGUUAGUGCUAAGAGUCUUUGAAUUACUCACCUGAUGAAUCUCCCUUCUUGCACAAUUUUAUUCUGUGUAGAUAAACCAUAAAGACGGAAGUAUUAGUUGAAAAAUAUCCAGUAAGGAGACAAAAAGACGCAUAGUGAGAAUUUUGCUAGAUACCUUAAGUAAGAACAUCUUUGCCUCCUUAUUUCAUUCACCGCAUCAUUAAACUUCUUUGAUAACUGAUUAUCAUACUGCUGCAGCACAUACUGUAAUGAAAAGUUAUCAUUUCUUAGAAGGCUUCUAAAAUACCAGAAAAUAUAUUUCUUCUUUCAUGGUUUCGAUAAUAUGAUAGGUAAAUAUGAUGAGACGAUCACAAAAGUCACAACUGGAUCAUGCAAUAAAAUAGUAUAAAUGCCAGAUUUUGUUGCUACUUAAUCAUCCUACAAUUGCAUGAGUAUUACCUGGUUAGGAAUUUCAGCAGCUGAAGGAACAGCAAAAAGUUUCUGCAGGAUAUCGGAGUCCACAGAUUCGCCAACAUAUAGUAGACCAUCUUCACCAUUCUCAAGAAAAUAGACUCCCUCAUUGCUAAUGUGUUCACUUGACAAUGGGAUUGGAGGAGGAAGGACCUCUCCUUCAUUGUCCUGAUAAAUUAGAAAGCAAGAAUAAUCAAAACUUUUACAAGCUGCAUAUAUAUUAUGUCUUCAGAGAGAUAUGUUAAAGAAAAGUAGCCCAAUCAUACCUUCACAUCAAGGUCAUGCACAGAAAUCAUCCUGGGAUAAACCAAUGGGAUUGCCAACGGAGUAGAAAGGCAAGACACAUAGUUGAUCCAGAAUGAUCGAUCAUCAACUCUCCCAUCCGUUCUUAAACCCACACUUUUGGUCAAUGCUGAAGGAAGACCCAUGUAAAAAGGAAAUAACAUCAAAUCAAAAUUUUCUUGUCUAUUACUCCUGUCCUAAGAAGCUAUAUGAUCCUGAAAAGCCUAUGCGAUAUGUUGCAUUUCACACUCAGCAGAUAUAAAAGAAAGAAAAAGAGAUAGCUGAGUAAGACAAUCAGUACUUGUAAUUCACACAGAAUGACAGCACAUAUUUCCAUACAUCUAAAGAAGUUAAGGUAUGUAACUUACUUGGUAUGGUAGGUACCAAAUAUACUACAAGAUCUUACCGCAGCUACAUAUAACUACCGCAGAAAACGAAAACAACCGUCACUUAAUAUCUCUUAAACGGUAGCACACAUAGCAGGUGCAUACACAAUAUAUGAUCACUUCUAAUUCAAGAGAAGGGAAGUAAAGCAAUUGCACACAAGAGAACCUGAAGUUGUAUGAAGUUGUAUAAAACUAACUAGGAUAAAAGUAACUAGGAAAUACCAAGAGUAUAUAAUGGAAAAAGCUUGAGCGCCUCAGGAAGAAUAAGUUGUCCAGUUGACGUCACUGUAGCACAAAAUUUACGGUAGGCAUAGAGUGCAUUGAUGCAACUAUUAGUUGCUUGCUCCUUUACCAAUGGAAGUGCCUUUGAAGGAAUUUCAUUUGCCGCUGCAUAAAUGAUAACAAAACAGAUAUUGUUACAUAAUCAUAACACCGAUAACAGUAUAAUCAGUACCGAAAACAGUGACCUACCUUGUUUCAGCAUACAAGCAAACUGAGAAUCUAGGUCAGCUGCGCGAAACAAAUUACUGAGCAUGUUCGUACAAGAAAGUGAUAAUGUGGUAACCCUGAUUCUUCUUUCUCCAUAUAUGGUAGUAUACAGAAGGGCGCACUGUAAAAACACAGAACAAACAUAGAAUAACAUCAUUUGAAAUGUAACAGACUACCAACCUUUUUCCGUAAGUACAAGAAUACAAAAAAUACCUGGAAAGCACAUUCAGCUCCAUCUUGUAGUUUGUCAUCAUGCUUUAACGUCACCAUUAUAGCUUUGUCACAGUCAAUCUGCAUGGGCAAUCAAGAGUAAACGGAGUAUAUACCAUAGUGCAUCUCCUUGUAAACUUGUAGAAAAAACACUAUGUAUUUUCCUAUUUACAAACAUUGUGUUAACUUAAACAGCAUAGCACUUGAAUCUUAUCUUUCCAUAAUUCCAGACUCAAGAACUUUCAUAAAGGAUCACAUACAGAUAUAUUGUUUCAUUGAUAAGGACAGCCAAUCAUUAGACACAUACAAUACUAUCUUAAACUAAUUAUAAAAAGAUUAAUAAGGAUCCACUCACCGCUGGGAGAUCAAUGUCAGUUGGAAUGCGUUUGCAGAAAUUCCCUGAGUAUUCUUGCACUUGAAUACCCUACAAUUAUUGGAAACGGUGGUUUACAGAAAGCUAAUUAAGAUGGAGUUAACAGAGUAACACAUGAAGCGCAAAAACAUACCUGGCUGCAUCUGACUCGCAUGACAGCCUCAAAACCCUGUGGCCUAGUAAUAUUCCAUUUAAGAUCAUUGUAAAGCUUGGGAGGAUCUGAGAGAGCUGAGAAAGGGUAAUAACAAUACACCUGGAAAAACAAGUUUCCAACAGAAAGUUAAAGUUCGGCAAAACCUAGACAUCAAGCAAGACUUUCACAGACUACUGUCAAUUAGGAUUGUAAAGUUGCCAGAAGAAAAUAAGGCAUGGGCUUCCAUAGGAAAAAUGCAUUCAACUGACAGAGACGAGAAAGACUCUGUCAACACGAAUUUGAAUCUCUAUUUUAACUGUGAUAGUAACAACUUAACAUUACGAAAAAUAAUAUGAAAUAUGUAAAAGAAAUUUUUUUAACAAUCAGAAAGGAUAAGGAAUUUUGGAAUCACCUGUCCGCCAGUAGUUCUUGGAAUGACGGAUAUUGAAGCCAUGUCAACAUAGGCCUGAGUUGUGAUAAAUAUAUCUACACAGACCUGAGAGAUUUAUGGAUGGCUUAGAUAGGGAAGUAAUAUUGCCAUUAAGAGAGAAUGAAACACUGUAGAUUCUUGAUAAGCAGACGGUAACAUUAUAAGUUAAAUUCAAACAUAUAUCCUACGUAUACCUGGUACUCAGCAAGUUCAAUAGCCAUGGUCUUUAGAAUUUUGUCUGCUGGCUGUAGUAAUUUAUGGGCCUCCUGAUAUAAAAAUUACAGGAAUUCAAUAUUUUGCUAUGAACAUCUACAUUCUCUGACACAGAAAAAAGCAUGUUUACCUUUUCACCAGCAGACAUGUUAGCUCUCCCUUCAGCCUCUCUAGAAGAAAGUGCUCCAACACCAACAGAACACAAAUCUAUGGGAAAGAGUGUAAUCAUAUCAGCUUAAGUUAUAGAGGUACUGAGCGGUAAGAUGUAUUAUGAAUAGUGAGCGUUGGUGCUUCUAAUAAAUAUAUGAUUUUCAAUGUGCAUAUAUGGAUUCUAAGUUAUUGGAUGCACAUGCUUCAAUAUACCCUAAUAUAUAAAAUACCGAAACAGAGUGAGCAUCAUACUUGAUUGAAAUACCAUAAGCUUCCCUCCUUUGCUCUUCAUCGCCAAGAAAGCAGCCUACAGAAAUGGAGUUGUAAGACAUGAAAUUCAAACACAUGCGGAGAAUAGUAGAUAUUAAUAUAUUAUCCUCAGCAUUUUUUCCCCAAAAAAAGGAGCAAUGGUCCAUUAGAGAUGAUCUCAGCACAAAAAAAAAACAUGGGUUCUUGGCAAAACCGCCCAAUUAACCUGAAACGUCACUUCACUGAUUGCUUUUAACCAGAUUAUAAACUUUAUCUUUUUACGGCAUGCAAUGAUGAUUAAAAUUUGACAAAGCUCAAAUGCUUACUAAACAACGAAUUCAUGAAAUCGAAGGCCCUCAAAUUUCUACAUUACUACCAAUCAGGCAUGCAGGUUAAGCAUAUGCAUCUUCAGAAAUUUCAUACCUUAACUGCUGCACCAAAAGCAGAUUCAGGAGUUUUACUUUCCUGAAACAUCGUUGGGAUACUAUCCAGCAAAAGCUCCAGGUGUUGACGGCACUGAAUUCCAACAAAAUACAAUAAAUUCAAAAAAUGGGAAAGAAAUUACAAUAACCAACUUUAAGAAUAGCAGCCAGCAUACACGACAUAUUGAAAAACAAGAAUAAAACUAAUCAGGGUGUGCCCAUAUAGAAAAAAAUGGCCCAGAACUGACCUCAGAUAGCUGAACAAUGACAUCUGUCUCUAAAGGUGUAUAAACAUCUUGCACAUCAGGGACAAUGAGCAUCAAUGGCUGCACGUAAGGGGGGAAAAUCAAUUUCACAGGCGGCAGUAAUCAGCUGAUUUCAGGAAGAGAAAGAGACAGCACCCAUUCCGGAUAUCAUAGCAUCACAGGGAUGCAGAGUACAACUCUUAAUUGUAAAUCACUUUAUGACAUUAUAAGAGGAUACAUAAAACUAAUUGUGCCAUUGCAAUAACUUUCAAGUAAAGCAACACAUACAUAAUACAUCUGCUGAGCCUGUAGCCCAGUGACCCAGAAAACGACCAUUUAAUUAGGAUCCGGAGAGAACAAAUCUCUCUUUUUUCCACUAAACAAUAACAAAAGAAGGACUAGUGUAAAAGAAUUACCUGCUGCAGUGCACGUUUCAAAUUAUAGAAGUGGAUUGUUGAGUCAAAUGUAGCAAUUCCAACAAAUGUCCUAGGACCUUCCUGCAAACGAAAAUUAUAAAAUAAAAAUUGAUUAAUGACUAAGGCAAAAUAAAAAUUAUAAAAUCACUGGUAACAUAACCAUACCCUAACGAAAGUUCACAGUCUCAUUAUAAAUAAGGACACACACUAACAGAUAUGCAGCAGAAGCUACCUUCUAAAUCAUUAAGGUAUGAACACCUUAGUAUGCAAAAGGCCUACUAAGGUGUUACUUAAUACGCCCAGAUACAAGUAACAAAUCAAAUACAAAUCAUCACUAAAGAACCCCAGAACGUUUGAAUAGUGUUGCUUAAUUUUUGAUACUACCACCAAAACAGUAAAAACUACAUACACAUGAUAGCCAAAUAUUCAGAGCAGAGUAGAUAUCAUUGACUGUUUUGAAAUGUUGGAAAUGGUGACACAACUUACAGGAAGGUCUGAAAGUACUUGCUGAAUUGCAUUGCAAGCAGCUGCAGUAGCACCUGUUUGUAUAGCAUUCAUUGAGACAUCAAUGAGGAAAAAAUAUACUGCUGGCAUUGGAUCCCGUACCUAAUGAAAAGAAAAAAAUGAUCUUAAUUUCCAUUCAUUCCCAACAUGUCUGAUCAUCAAUUUCUCCCAAAAGGAUGUUAAUAACAAUAUGUUAGCUAGAAAGGUAAUUUAGGUGGUGCUUUACUAGAUCAACAAUACAGUAUGUACAGUAAUUAUCAUUUUCCACCAUAGUAAUUUUUCGGGAAAACACAAAAUCAGAGGACAGAACAUUUCGUCUAAUACAAUGGUAGAUUCCAGACCGCAUGAAACAAAUUGACAACUUUGGAAGCAAAACCAAACAAUUUUACAUUUUUAACUAGAAAAUGUCACAAACUAACCAUGUAUUCUUUUGUAGCAACAAACUCAACAGUUCCCCUACACAGCUCAGGUCUUUCAUCAACAUCCCUACGCCUACCAUCUGGACCCAGAUUACAGUGAUAUUCACGGGGAGUCUCAUCAGUGUAUCCUGUGCAAAAGAAAUUUGAUGAGGAAACGGAUCACAGAACCUUUCACAUUAUUUGACUCCCACAAGAUAACUAAAAUAACAAUAUAUAAGUCUCUCUUAAACAAAAUGAUGUCGCCAUCUUCCACAAUCAGUUGAAUCCAGAUUGGAAGAAGAAAUCUUACAAUCCAGGAAGGUAAAGCACAAAACUGUUAGUCUAUGCUUCUAACUUAGAAUACUCAAUUACGUUAUUACUUGAUACAUACUAUUGCAAUUACGUAGCUAUAACUUCAGAUAAUGUGGCUUGCAUAAGUGAAAACAGUAAUAACAUUUACCACAGAAAUUACAGAUGAACUUCCUUCCCUGGUCAAUGAACUUCAUGAAAGGAUUUAUGUAACCCUUACAGCGUGAACAUCGUACAGGUCCACCCUCACCAAAGUCCACAACCUGCACCAUAGUACAGAUCAAUGUUACCAGGAAUUGCUUCUUUUGAAGAUGUAAAUGAAACUUAUAUUCAAAACAACAAUUUAUAUGCUUCACAAAGAACUCCAAAAUACUGGUACAUGCGAUCAAUAAGAGCAAGGGGUAAUGCAAAUACUAAUAGGAAUAGCAUAGAAACUGAAUGUCCACAUGCUUUGUUUGGUGAGAGGAGGCUUACUUGUAUAGGCUCUUCAGAUGGAUGAGAAAGCGCCAGCGGUUGAACCAUCAACGCCAGUUGCAUUCCAGAUGUAGAUAGAAGAUCAACUGUACAUGGGAUCUAUUACGAAAAAUGGAAAAAGAAACGUAUCAAGUUCCCAAGGAACACAAUGGAAAAAAUAAUAAACUCACACACAUCCCACCACUAGAUAAGAUAUGCUUCAUUGUUACCUGAUUGAUCGUGCACCUCAUGUAACGCGGACUACAAUUUCCGGUGUCUCGAACAACAUAAUCACUAGUAGCAGGCUUCAAAAAUAGAAGAAAAAAAUCAGGGGAAAGAUAUGGCAGUACGAAAAAACUCACAUACAAAAGAUAUGACAUCUCAGACAAAUAUUCAAAUUGAAAUUUGAUCAGGUAUACACACCGGGGGAGGAUUAGCCUGAUUACUCUGACGUGUUUCAAAGACUGUUGGGCUGGAGCUUGAACCUGGCCUUGGGAUUUGAUUAGGAUCAAUUCUUGCGGGUCCAGGAACAGAGGCACCAGGUUGGCCCAUGGCAGUGGGUAUGUUGGUCAUCGACUGAUUUGGCAAAGGCCCCAUUCCAUAUCUUGGUGGUUGCAUUGGGCCAGGAAAGCCUAGAGGUGGGGCAACCUACCAACAUUCAAAUUUGAAGACCAUCAGAAUCUGCCACACAAAGGAGAUACAUCAAGUGAAAAUAUUUUGCUUAACAAUGAAUCAGAGAGCCACAAGCUAAAGCACUACAUAAGUUGUUUUUCAAUUGAUCACAAGACAGAAUCCUAACAGUGCCAGUUCAAAUCUUUCACGGUCAAAAUGUUACAAAGAUCGGUCAACUAGUAUGGUUCCUGUGUGAAUGAAUAUAAAUACACAUCUACAUUAAUUCACAGUAGCAUAUGUUUUCAUCAUUCGGUACAAAGAAAUCAGAAAAGUUACAUGACAAGAACAUAUAUCAUAACUGUAUCUGCACAUACCUGUGAUGAUGGUGGACCAUAAGGCAAGCCUGAUACCGCUGGUCUGCCAUGAGGGGCUCCAGGAAAGGUUGCUGGUGGCGGCAUUGAAGGGGGAGUAGACGGAGUUAAUUGCGAAUUUCCAGAACGAGGAUGUGCACCUAGUGGCUGUGGAGGAGGCCGAGCGAAAGGUGCUGAAGGAGGCUGCGCAUAGGGUGCCUGUGGAGUUGUAACAGCAGCACCGGGGAACUGGGUUCCCCUCGGAAAUCCGCCUGAACCAGCCAUUUGAUGCCCAUUACUGACUGGACCACCAAGCAUGCCCGAGGGAGGCAUAGACAUGCCAGAUCCGACAGGUGGAGGUGAACCAAAUGCCAUUGGGCGAGCUCCCGGAGGAGGACCUGCAGCUACAUUACCUGAUGGACCAAAAGCUGUAAAACCACUAGAAGAGGCAAUAGGCUGCGCCACAGGUCCUCCAGGCAUUGACGGUCUAGAGCCAAAUGGUGGCUGACUAGGAGGCGGACCAGUGGGUCUGUUCAAGGGUGUGUUUGACUGAAAUCCAGCUGGUUGUGAUACGGGAGGGGGACCACCAGGUCUUGCCAUCCCAGGAGGAGGUCCAGGCCGGGACAUCGGUGAAGGCCCAUGUUGCGGAACUCCAUAAGAAGGGGAUUGUUGAGGGAAAGGUUGUGGUGACUGACCAAACGGAGGGGGUGGUCUAGGACCUGAACCAGGCAUCAUCGGAGGUGGUCGAUUCAAGCUCAAAUUCUGCAUAUUGCCAGCUAAAGCAUUUGAGUUCCCCGGGUAGAAAUUUGGUGGCCUGGGAUUCUGCUGGUUGUUGGGUCUAGGUGCCCCUGGAGGCACAGGAGCAACCAUGCUUUGAUACCAGAUGGAGAUCAAAUCCUAAACCUUGCUCAACAAUCUAGAGUUUCCAGUAUGUCGCCAAAAUCUACAGAUCCAAAUGAUCAAAUCAGCAAUUGGAACAACUAAAGAAAUUGAAGUAACAAUUCACUGAUACAAAACAACAAUUAUCCGACCAAUCACAGAGACAAGGUGGCAGUAACAACACAAACUUAGUGUUGGAAGCAGUAAAUACAAUAUAAGACAAGAACCAGCUUUUUUCUUCUUCUUUAGAUCAUACAGACCCCAUCAAGGACCAUAAACAAAGGGGACGAAUCAAGAAAAGAAACUAAUAAAUCAGGAAACCAAAAUCUGAUCUCAAGGUAUAAAAACAAAACAAAACAAAAAAAGCAAGAACCUCUCAAAAGGGUCUAUCGAGAAAAUGGCAAUUUUCGCAAUUUCAAAUACACGUACCCGAAAUUGAGCUAAACCUUGGAAAUUCUUCAGAUUUGGAUGAUAGCGAUCCAAAAGUAAUAAUACAAAGCUCUCAGAUCUAGGGACAGAGUGAGAAAGAGAGACACAGCGACGGCGGUUAACGGCGUCGUUGUGGUGUCACAGGGGAUUCAGACGACAAAUGAAAAUAUAACAAUUGUUGGUCCGUAGAAGACAGAAAAUUCAACAAAAUAAAAGGGUACAAGUAUAAAAAGGUGGAAAUUACCGAAUCAAAAGAUUUUAUUUUUUUAAUUGUCCGUUUCAAAACACACGGGUCUGUAAAGUACAGUGUCUCUCUGUAGUAAAAACCAGGUUAUAAACACAUCUUCUUCUUCUGGUCACAGUUUGGUUCAGUCGACCAAAAAAAGUUUAUGCUUAUUUAAUAACUAUUUUUUAAAAACAUGUUUCAUAUGAAUUAUUAUUUCAAUACAGUACAUGAAUUUGUCAUAUUUAGUUUUGUAAUUGUAAUUUAUUAUUUAUAAAGUAUUUAUUUUGUUUUUUGUUUCCCGUUUACAACUUACACAUGCAAAUUAUAAGAUUCCAUGGCCAUUAGAAUAAGCUAUGUAGAUAAAUACAUAAGAGUUAUAAUAUUUUGGUUACAAGUAGAUAUCUUUCCACCUCAAUGUACAUUUGAUAAAAAGCAACAGCGGAUGAUGUCAGGAAACCUCUGUACCUCUCAUUCAAUUUCCAUAAAAAUUAUCCCAACUUUAGAAAUUUUCUGAAUCAAGCUCUCUCUCAUUCAAAGGGAUUGCCUCUGGAAAUAUAAGCAUUUGGGUUUGCAGAAGGAUAUCCAUUGUUUGCUUGAUGAAACGUAAAAGUGUUUCCUUCAGUACUACUGAGGCAUACAAAAUCAAUUUAGUUUCAAGAACCAUACAGUCCAUUCAAAGAACACUACAAAUAGUAAUGUACAAUACCUGAAAGAUUGGGACAUAUUCACAUGUGAUUGCUGCCCCAUUAGUCCACCUAUUUUUACCAAGACCCAACUCUUAGAAUACAGUCCAACCAAUAGAGCUGUUAUAUUACAGAAAUUAUCAUCUCACCAGGGGAAAUAUUGGAUGCAAGAGCUGGAGAGUUUGGGGAUAAAGGGGCUGUAUGAAAAGGUGACUGAGAGGUCAUCAGUCCAAUGGAACCUGCAGCUGGACUUGAAGUAUCUGCAUACCCUAUUGGAGCUGACACGUGAGGUAAGCCUCCUCCUUGCACAUAUCCCAUAGAAGGAAACUGUAAAAGAUAAUAUUAAAGAGAAAGGAGCUGAGUAUUUACAUUUUCAUCAAAUCUAGUAACAGAAAUUUAACUCUAGAUUUCUUACUUGUUGUAUUUGGUUUGGAGCUGUGUCAUCAUAGCUAAGAUCAAAGGGAUUUGCUGCUUUUGCUGUAUAUGGUAAGGCUCCCACAGCCUGCCAAGAAUAGGAUAUAAGCAUAUAUAAAACCAGAUGUUGUAACUAUCAAACCGAACUAAUAGGUCAAUGGAAACUAUACCAUAGGAUAUUGAUAAUAUUGCAUGCCAUAUCCCAUGCUAUGAUGUUGACCAUGAGCUUGCUGUGGGGCAAAGGAGAAGCCUCCAGUGAAAAGGUCCUGCCAAUAGUUAGAUUCUUAUGAUCGGAGAUUCCCAGAGGUGUGUCCAAAUUUCUCUUACAAAAGAAAGGUUUGUUACCUCAGGAAGCGCCUCUCUUACGCUAGAGUGUGUCUCAUCUUGAUAUUGUUGCUCAUAUCCACCGCCAUGAGCAUAAUUUGUGAUAGCCAGUGUUGAUUGUUCGGUAGUGCUAUCUGAUUGUUCCUUAGGUGAUAUAGAUCCAACAUGUGUCAGCAAAACGUUAGCACGUGAAGAAAAAAGAUUAGUUUUCUGGAAAAAAAUUGAUUCUAUUUAAAACUCUGUUUAUGAUCCGGUUUGCCUUCAUUCAACCAGUCUAGUGAUUUUGGAAAACUUUGAAAAAUUUACCGCAGACACCAACCUGGUUAUUUGUAGCUACACUUGGUGUAGCCGUCUCUUUUGUAACCAAGUUAUCAGCAGCAACUGGAAACAGUGGACUUGGAGAAGCAGCAUGAGCAUGCGCAAUUGUAGGUGAUGCGACAAAAGAGGUAACACUGUCUGGUGUUAUUGGCAUUGUCUGUAUCCCAAAGUUCGCUGCAGGAUAAUUGUCUACAGAAACAGUAGAGGAAAUAUCACUAGUGCUACAUUGUUCAGAUUUGUUUGUUCCAGGGACAACAGAAGGAACAGAGAGUCCAAACAACAAAGCCUCCAAAGAAUUAGGAGCUGGCCCUUCAGUGGUCUUAAGAGAUGCAGAUGGUUCUGAAACUGGUUCAUCAUCGAUUAAACUUCUAGGACUCUCCAUUUUCUCUGUCAUCUGCAAUAAUGCAACUUGUUAACUGUAUAGAUAAAGUGCAUAAAACACAACGAAAUACAAAACCUGAGAAACAGAUAUAAUAGUAGAUUACCUGAUUAUUCACCGGAUCCUUCUUUUUUUCAAUUUUUGCAACAUUGCUUACGCGCAACCGAGGAGCACUGUCCCCUAAGAGUUCGCUGGUAUGUCGUACAAUGGGAAAUCGUGGCAUGUCUUUGUUACUUGAGAGGUCAAGAGAUUUGGAGCUUCCUCUUGACUCCUUACGUGCAUCAUAUCUCUUAACACUUCCAUCAUCUCUAAACCUAUCAUCAACAAUCUCAAAGCGAAUAGGACUCUUUGGUAAACCUCUAGAUCUUGGAUUAUGCGUAGCAUGUUGUUGUCUGUGGUUCUUGUCAUCAAAAUAAAACUUGAGAGAUUCACUGCCACUUCUCCCAACAGCACUAGAUCUUUCAGUUUCAGAUUUAUCCACAGAGUGUAAACUUCUUGAUCCAAGAGAAUUUGCACUGGCCUUCUUGCUUUCCCUGUAAUCUUCUACGACAGCCUGAAAGGAAACACCACAAAUUUGCAAGAAAAAAAGAAGAAACUAGAAAAAUGUGUUAAGACUAAAGAGGAACAUCCUCAACAAUGUAACAUAGAAUAAUGUCCCAAAAAUUAGUUGGCACCCUUAGCUUCAGGAUUGUAAUGACGUAAGAAUGUAAAGCAGUUUACCGAUUUCUGGCGUGAGUCAUUACUCUCACUACAGUAUCUUUUGUCAACAUAAACAUUCCUGAUGAAAUCUCGGAGCUUGAAAAUAUUACUGAAAAAGAAGCAAGAAAAAUUUGAGGUUAAAUUUAGUUUUGCUACUUUUAGUGUUAACUCUACAGAGAUUAAUAAAUGUCCAAGAACCUGCCAUCGGGGUAACCAUCACGGUGCGUAUCCCAUUCUUUAAAAUAAAUUUGUCUGGCUCGCUGCAAAGAAAAAGCAAAGGGUUAACACAGAAACUGGGGAUGAUUAACACAAAAUGAGCAGUUCAAUUAUCAAACCUCGUUUCCUCCUGCACGAAGUGCACCAACUUCAUCUGCUGUGAACUUGGCCAUUGAUACAGAUUUCACACGAUGAGUAAAUUCUCGACUGGACAUACACAAAAAGAAAAGGAUCCUUACACAAAAUGAAUUUGGAUCAACACUUUCAAGCUCCAGGCUUGUCCUUGGAUUGAUAGAGGAAUCAAGAGCAAAAGACUUACUGGAUUCCACUGCAAUUUGUGCAGACAAAAGUCCAGAAUGUUGAACAGACAUAUUGUGGACCCUGCAAGAUUCAGAUGUUGAUAUAUAGAACAGAACUACAAUGAGCCUUAUUUAUUUUUGAGCUAUUCAAAAAAGACUGCUUGAAGAUGAUCAUUGGCCAACAAACUAAUGCAUUCAGCUAAAAAUAUCGUACCAGACUAUUGCAAUUAAUGCACCUCCGGUUCUCGGGAAGCUUUAAUAAACUCCGGACAGCCUUUUCGAUUCGUUCGUCUUCCUUAAUUCUGCUCCCCAUUCUUGGAGAAAUGCCUCCCUCAGCAAGAAAAUUCAAUAUCUCAAAUGAGAAAUCCGAUCAAAGUGCCAUCAUUACCUGAGAAAACUGAGCAUUAUCUUAAUUCUUAAGCCAACAUCAUUGAGGUUAUUCUAAGGACUCAUAUAAAACGCGAGAGAAACAUGGUAAAUUUCAAGCUUGAAAAGAAACAAAAGAGAGAAGAGAAAAACCUUGGAGAAAAGAAGAAGAAGAGGAAACAGCCGAAAAAAAGAAUGGAGGAGGAAAGAAGAGAAAGAAGCUCUCUCAGGCUUGUCCAGAGAGAUGACAAAAAAAAAAAAAAUAGAUGGAUGAGGCCAGCAAAGGAAUGAGACAUCAUCCGACAAAACUGCUACCUGAAAGAUUUCCCGCCGUUGAAAUUUCUCCCACCACCUUUCCUUCUCUCAUUUUAGUUAAGCUUCUUUCAUUUCAUCCCAAAAAAUUUUACAAGUUUUGACAAAAAAAAAAAAAAAACAAAUACCAUUUUCGAACGAGUAUUGACAAAUGCGAGUUGUGUAGCUAUUUCUUGUAUGAACUAUAUAAAGACUAAAAUGGAUGGCAAGUGUUGCAAUUUGGCCUUGUUUCCAUAUUUUUCCAAACAUUUGAUCUUAACUAAAAAUGUAAGAGAAAGCAGAGAAAGAGAGAUGUAGAAGAAGAGAACCGCAAAAUACUUGCAGCAGAAGAAUCAUUUUGCUCAAACUAAAUCUCUCUACCAAAAGAAGCUAAUAAACCAAAUUACUUACAAUCUCCUCUUUCUUUUUUUUUUUUUUUCUUUCCUUUUUUUUUUUGUUUUUUUUUUCUGUUUAACCAUCUCCUCAUUUUUGUCUCUCUUAACUACUAAGAACGUUCCCAGCCCAUGGGUACAUGAGAUCAAGUUUCCGAGUCCCAGUUCGGUGUUAUUGCUGCAUCAAAAUAUAGCUUACUUAAAGCGGAGGGAGGCAAAUUUCUGUACAGUAGAGCUCAUCUGGGUCGUAUUUAAUUUGUGUCAAGAGCAACUCGUGACGAAUGACGAAUCCCUCUCUCUCUCUCUCUCCUUUUGCUCAAGAGGUGACAAAACCCAGACUAACAGAGGUGGUAUCUAUCAACUCAUCCUUCGCUUGAGCUUUCUAACCCAUUGUUGCUUAGGUCCACAGAAGCAGCUUUAACUGCCUCUGCACACAUGAGAGCCGCUGCAGCUUUCUGGAUCGCUAGAUCUGCUUUGUAUCGCAAAUUCUCUGCUCUUUCUCGCUUGAGUUUUGCCAUAGCAUAUGCACGCCUUGCAGCAGCAGCUGCAUCUCGCAGUUUGUACUCAUCAAUGUCUGUAUUAUUCUGUAAUUCUUCCACAUCAAGACGCUGAGAUCCGUUGGAGUAACAGAGAUGAUUGGAACUGGGCCAUUCAGAAUAGCCUGCAUCCCAUCGUUCACUAGUGUUCCUCUUCCCAUUGGUUCUUUGCAACUUGUUUUGGUGAUUCCUAUGAUAUCCAUUUCCACUGCUCGAGAAAUAUCCCAUGCCUAGGUCACGGGGAGAAUAUGUUCCCGGAAAUACAGGAUGCAUAGGAAAUUCAUUCAAGUGCUCAUAGCUUUGAUUUGAAUAUAUACAUCUCUCAUCUCUAGCGGCAAAACCAACAGAUCUUCUUCCUGCUAGAGAAAUGGAUAAGUUGGAUUAAACACAGACUUCAUAUAUAUAAAUCAGAAUCAAUAGAGGAUUUAUAGAAACUCAAGAAGGUAAAAGUGAGUUACCGGACGAAUUAUAGACAUCAUAAUCUCCCAAAGCAGAACUAUGCUGGGCAUAAACCGAGAGUUUCUUCUGUGACCUGUGUUUUGUUCCCCUGUGUUUGACUUCCAAACCUCGAGGCUUAAAACAGAAAGCAAACAUCGCUGGCUUCUCAAUAGGUGACUGUUUCUUCUGUGAUCCACAGGUAUUUGGUGUGUUUGCUGUGCUCAUAGCCAACUCCCAGUCUUUGAGCUCUCGUUGGUAUUUUUCCCACAGAGGUGGCUGAAUUGCAGGGGUAGAAAAACAAGUGUUUAUGUUAGACACAAUUAAAAAUAUACUGCAGCAGCGUAACUAUAAUUUUUGGACUUUCAGACUUCCUCGAGCAAAGCAAACUACACUGUAGCUACAAACAGACACACUUUUUCCCCUAGUAGACGUAUCAUUUUCCCAUAUAACACCCAAUGAAUUAUAAAAUAUCCUGAAAAGCACACUACGUACUUAAGACAUAGCCAUGCAGAUCUUUAAAUCUCAAGUCAAACAUGAAAGAAAAGACAAUCAAAUAAAUAAAUAAAGGUAAGAAGGAAUCAGAGAUUAUACCUGAAGAUGCCUGAUUAAUGGCAUUCCCUUUCUCUGCCUCUUUGUUCUCCAAAACUCAUAUAUUGUUUCCAUUGCUUCCAAGGAUCCAACUCCAGCCAAUAAUUCUUGAAUUUCAUCUAAGGUAAAGUGAUCACGCUGCUUUACAUAUGAAGCCUUCUCAAACAUGUCCAUAGCCUUCUCAAACAUGUCCUCAGUGAUAUCACAAGAGCCACUAUUCUCAGCUUCCGAACAUUCACGAAUUCUCAAAAGGCACUGCUCAUCAUCGCUGUCCAUGUCAUACAAAACACGUGAAGGGUCUAAUGCCAUCUCAAUAUCAGUUUCAGUCUGCCGAAAAUAUUUAGAAGAACUGCGAAUGAAUUCAGUCUCUGUUCCAUUGAAAUUGUCCUUUUCUAUCAUGCGGAUGCCAGGAAUAGGAAUGUUUCUAACUAAAGCAGCCCGACUAUUUCUAUUGUAGCACUCUUCAUGCAUCUCUUUAAAAAGAGACCACUGGCCCCUAUCAGGGAACUCCAAGAUCCAAUCCUUUCCACCUUUCCACAUCAUAGCAUGAGUAAACCUGUUCACCGACCCAGGUUGCAGAAACUGAUGUGCCCUGUGUGAGUAUUUCGUUGUUCCAGACAUUUUCACUGAAAGUCUCCAUUCAUUAUUAUCAAAAGGUUCCAGGAAAAUCUGAGCUCCAUAUUCUCUCCAGCCUCUGUCACCAAGAGUGACUAAAACAUUGGCAUCACAGAAACUAGACUCCAAAUCUUUCUGAAUACCUCUGGAAAUAUCAGCAGCAGACCUUCUAAUUCUUUUGUUUGGAAGCCCCUUGUGCAGGGAACCUUUACUUCUAGAAUCAGAACCCCCAGAAGGCAAUGAAUAAGACACUUGGGUACGUCGCUUCUUAGGUCCAUUUGCCAAAUUAGUGUGUAGAAAGUCUCCCUUUGAAUCCGACCAGCCAUGUGAGAGAUGGCCAUUUAGAGAACUUUUACUUCGUUGCCACAUACUUCUUGGGGCAGUGGCCUUGGGACUUGAGAUGCUACCUUGAAUAUUCAAGGCCACAUUACUUGACUGCGGAGUACCAUUCUCACAGUGAUCAGAUAUCGGAACUUGAAUACAAAUUCCAUUCACCGGAACGUUAGACCUGGUUUCAUGCUUAUGUCUGACAACAGAAGAAGAAUCAGACCCCAGCAACUGUCUUUGAGAUGGAGUAUGAAGGUCCUUUAACUCUUGCGCUUCUUGCCCUCUGGGAGAAGUGAUAACUGCUUCAUCGUUUGGGCCUUUACUAUUGAGAGAAGGUUCAGAAUGUUCAUUUGUACAAUCUGCCAUAUCACAACCUCCAUCUGUUACCAAAUUGCAAUUGGAUCUCAGGAAGUCUGCUGAAUCAUGACCCAGUUCUCUUAUCAUGUUCAGGUGUAAAUUGAGUAAGAGUGUAGGUGGCCGAGCAGUAAAAGGAAGUGCAAAUGAAGACGUAUAUUUCUGCUUGUAGCUAACAGCUGUGGGGAAGGCUUUAGCAGAUGACGAUUCCCUAGAAACAAGGCCUGAGCUGAUUCCAUGCCUAGAUCUCUUCUGCAUGACCUGAUGUUCAAGAUAUAUAAAAACGAGUUGGUAUGAGAUUAUAGAAAUAAACAAAAGACCAACGAAGAUGUACCAGAAUAAUGCAGUAAAGAUUCAUUUUACCUUCUGCAGGACCUUCAUGUUAUCAUGUGUACACUCUGAAAUUGGUACUUGCUUAACCAGCAAAGCAUGCCUCCUGACAUUCCGUUGCAAGUAUGACCACUUUGAAUGUUUCACUUCAUGGAAACUGUAGAAUAGAAAAGCAAGUUGCCUUUGGAAGCCUGGGAUGCAAGAAACUUGGAGACCAAUUGAGAAAACUGGCAAUUGGAAGCCAGCAUCCGUUUCUUGUGCUCGUUGCUUACUAGAAUGAUCUACUACCAUCAAGAUACGGAAAAUCAAUUGAACAACUUCCAUUAAGCUGCCUUCGAAAAUAAGAUACUGCAACCCAUCUUGAUUAUCUAGGAAUAUCAUUUCCAAACAAACCCUUGGCCACAAAGUCACAAGUGUACCAUGACGAAGCAAAAGAACAACACGUGAGAGCCAGUCAACAUCUGCCAUAAGAAAGUACUUCAUCAAGGAAACAACCUGUUGGCUGAGGGACAACUCAAAUUGCUCUGUGUCAUUCCACGGACAAUAAAGCUCCAGAUCCUCAGAAUCUUCAAUAGGCAAAAACUCUAUAUCAGGAUCCGGAAUUGUUAAUACAUGAAGCUGCUUCAAAACCUCAACAUUAUUCUCAGCUGACCCCUUGUAGAUUCCUUUUUUUGCUGUGUGAAGUCGUCUCCUACAGUAGACAAUAGGAAAUAUGCUACCAUUACGAAAACCAGAGCUUUCCAACUCGUUCCUACUAGGUCCAGGUGAUCCACAUGAUGCAAGAGAACUAGCAGAUCUAUCUGUAUAAUGUCCUGCAGCAUCUUUAACAACAUCCCCAUCCGUUUUCACAGUCGUAUUAACUGUCAUUACUUCUGAUUUUUUCAGUUUUUGUACAGCCUUAAGAGUGGAAGAUUUGUCCCGAUGCCGAGAUCGAGUUAACCAUGUGAUAAUUGGUUCUGAUUCCAUGCAACUAUCAUCUUCUAGAUUUCCCUUCUGCUUCUCCUCUUCUUUACUGGAUAUAUCAUUUCCUUUUAUUUUCAGAGUAGACUUGGACCCUGAACCACGCCUUUUCCGUUGAUUUUUUUCAGGAACUUCAGUAGGGAACAACAAAAUUUUGAAUCUUUCACCUUGUAAAUUGAUCCACUCCUCAUCACGAUCAUCAUAUUUUACAUGAUGCAGGUUCUUGUCUCCAUCGUAACCAUCCACAAACCCAUGAUACCAACUCUCAUCCAAAGGCCAGAAAACUUUUAUCUUUUUGUUUAACAACCAGUGUGAAUCAACAUCAGAAAACAAUAUUUCAUAAAAGUGGCGUCUUUUCCGAACUUUACCCUUCCCAUCAUGCUUUCUUCUUGGUCGCAACAUUCUAUCAUCAGUGUCAUCUGAGAUACAUGUAGAACUAAGCAUCUCAGACCGAGGAACUGAAGUUUUACCAGAAGUUAAUGGAUGCAUACUGGCAGAUGGUGAACCAGGAGUAACAGAAUUUGAAGGAAACUGGGUGCAGUUUGGAUCAAACCGCGAAGACAGCAUUCUUGCUGCAUUGGCUUCAAGAUUCUCCUCAUCAUCUUCUCGUGAUACCUUGGAUAUUCUGCCAGAAGUAUCACCUGAAGAGGACUUGACCUCUUUUCCCACACGUUGGUUUGAUGUUGAGGACUUCCUUUUUCUGCUAUUACUAUUUUUUUGUUUAACAACAACCAGCUGGUCAUCUUUCACUGGAGACUGAUUAGAAUGCCCAUUUUCCAACUGCAACUGAACUGCUGAAUUAGAUUCUUUGAUUUCUUUCUCAAAAUCUUUCUCUUCUACUUUAGAGAGUUGAUCCUGAACACUAGAUUCUUCAACAGUUUCCUUAGGGAUAAUAUCAACCAGCUCCUCUUGACUAUCAGAAUCCCCUGGAGACUUCUGUACUAGGCCAUUCUCAAACCUACUCCUCCCAACAAAAUCUCUCCUGCGUCUAGGAACAUAAACCGUACUACCUGCCAAACCAACAGAAAUCCCUUGGAGUCCACUAGUGUCACACAAUUUCUCGUCCAAAGCCACCUUGGAGUCCUCCAAAUUGUGCAAGAUGGUGGUGCCAUUGCAGGCCUUAUCCAGAAUGUUGUCGUUUUUGCUAUCGAGUUUCUUAAAGCUACUUAGAGAAACAACUUUCCUGCUCUUCUUGUCCUGCUUCAACAGAUCAGCAUCAUCCCCAGACCUAUUUUUCCUUUUAAAGCUCUUAUUCACUGAAUCCUUGGAAAUGCUAGACUUAUAGAGCGUCUUAAGAUCUAAGGACCUCGAUUUCUUCGAAAUUCCCACUCCAUUAGAGUUACCUAGUCUAUUUUCCAUGAAAGCCACCUCGAACCAAAACCCAGAAUCAAAAGCCACCAGGUCUCAAAUUCCAUCAUACACGCAAGGAAACAUUUUUCAGAUCUGUGACACCAAAACCAAACCCAGAAUCACAAAAAGUACCCAGAAUAUGAUAAAAGAAGAACACACAAGUUACCAAAAAAAAAAGAAAAAAAACAGAUCAAACCCCACUCCAGGAAGGAAAAAAAAAAACUUAUGCAUUAAAAUCCACACAAUUUGUUUUCAGCAAUCAAGCAAAUUUUAACUGCAAAAAAAAACAUAAAAGAGAGAAAUUUGCAUGCCUACCUGCAUCACUUUAUGUGACGAAAUCGAGUCUCUUAAAGGACCUUUAUCGUCUCCACAAUCACAAAAUCAAAAUUAGGGUUUCGGUAAAUCGGACUGCGAAUCGGAUCCCUGAAUCAAACAAUCGAAAAUUCCCACAAGUAUUCGUUCAAUUCAGCGGAAAAUUAAAAAAGCAAAAAAAUUGCUUCUUUUUUUUUUUUAACCGGGAGAAACGGGAGAGCUAGGGUUUCGUCUGGUUUCGCGAGAGUAAGGUUUUUUCAGUUAUAAAGAAAACAUAUUCCAAAUAAAAUUCGGAUGACGUGUACCGUCUGAUCUCGACGCGCUACUAAUUCUACGGUUCAGAUUUAUUCUCGAAAUAAGCACUAUAUUUUUAACUCUUCAACAGAAAAUAUACAAUGGACGUUUCAGAUCCUCGGCUGCGAAAUAAAUAUUUUAGACGGUCAGGAUUUAAAGGCGAAGAUUAUUUAUAUCUCUCACGUGUGAUAGUAACCUACCACAAUCUUGUGUCCACCUAGCCAACAAUUGUUAGAGACAUCAUUCAACUUAACAACUAUUAUUACUAGAGGAUGAUUUUAAGUAUUUAAAACAUACACUAGUACUCUACCAGUUAGUUAUUCAUACAAUUAUAUAUUUAAAAAAAUAGUUAGCUUUUGCUUUUUUAUUUGUAUAUUAUCUACACUAACUUUUUGGUAAGUUUUUGUUUAAACUAGACUUCAUUUAAGUAGAUAAAUUAUUAGUGUUUGCGAGAGUAUAAUAAAAAAAAAAUGAAGUGAUACGAGUGUAAAUACAGAAAAUUUUGUGGUUUUUAUCCGUUUUUAUUUAUUUUGAUUUUGUUAUUUUUGACAAAAUAUAGUUAGCAAAAAAGAGUUUAAUUCCUAAUCGAUUUGUAUAUCAAUGUACCGUUGAAAUCAAAUUUUAAUAAUAAUUUUAAAUUAGGCAUUUGGGUGUAUAAAAUUACGUUUUUCAUCCAUGAUAACGUAUAAAGGUAAUAAGAACAUUAAUGAACAAUUAUAGAGGUAAAAAGAUAAAUACAAAUUCUAUAAAAGCUUAGAGAUUUUGUUUUCUAUUAAGGAAUCCGUUAAUUUAUAAACUAAUUUUGGCGCGAAUAUCUAUAUUAACAUUUUUGCAGCAACUAAUGAAAAAACCCUUGCUUUGCUCACUUAUUUACAAGGUUCUGCCAUUGCUAUUAAUAUUUUUUUUUAAAUAGUUUAAAAAUCAAUAAUGAAAACAAGAAAAUCUCCUUAAAAUUUUGCAAAAUACUUAAGAAAAUCUUCAAGUUAAAGAAAUAUUUAUUAUUGCGAAAAAAUAUUAAGAAAAUCUCUAUUAAUUAUUUCGAAAAUAGCUAAAACAAUUUUCAAAUUUAAUACAUACUUAUUAUCUUAAUAAAAAUUUCCAAAAAUAACUGAUGUAAAAUUCAAAAAUAUGAGGCAAACUUCUCAAAUUAAAGUCAGUCGAUUUUAUAAAUAUUAAAUAGGCCACGAUUAUUAUUAUUUUUUGUGGGAUACACAUAUGAUUAUUUAAUAAUAAUAAUAUAAUAUUAUAAAUCUCAAUAACAAUAAAUCUGCAAAAAAAUAAUAUAAAUAUAUAAUAAUUACUAUAAGAAACAAUUUGAAACUUCCCACCAAAAAAAAAGAAAAAAUUUGAAACUUUUAAUUUUCUCUAUAUUUUGGUAACUACCAUAACUACUAGGUUUUAAUACAAUAAAAAAUAGAUCAAAACAUUAUUAAAAUUAUUUUCUAAAUUUACCUUUUUCAAUUUAUUAUGUGCAGAAUUUCUUUGACGAAAUAUGUGGAAAGUGAAAACCGAACCAUUGAAAUUUAUGCAUUAUUUUGGGUAAAAAAUAUGUUAAAAAUAAAUCAAAAUUACAAAACAUCAAUAUUUUAUGUUUCUCCAUUUAUAUUUAGAAGAUAAGAAAAUACAAAUCCUGUAUGCAAUAUUUUGUUAAUUUUUAUUAUUUAAAAUAUUUAACUUUCCCACACCAUUUACCUAUAUAUAUAACCAAAUAUCUGCAUGUAAGCUUAGAAUAUCCAUUUUUGUUUUUCAGUUUUGAUAGCAUUUUUUUUCUUUUGCUUAUUGAAGUAAAAUCAACACGGAAAGAUGGGAAAUAUGUAAUUUUUUUUUGGCGAUUAUAUGAAAUGAUGGGGUAUAAGACGGGAAAUACUGUAAUAUGCUUUCAACAAGUUAUAUGACGGGUCGGGUUGUAAGAUGGAACGAGUUUGACUUAAUAUUACAAAAAAUAGAAUAUUAUUAAUCUCACAGUUCAAUACGGGUCAUUUUACUACUUUUUUAACCAACGCUAAUAUAAAACAUAUAUAAUUAAACUAAUUUAGUAAAGAUUGAUAUUAUGCAAUCUUAACAAUUAUUAAAUAAACUCUAACAUCUAUAAAUUUAAAAAAAAAAGUUUGUCUCGCGGUAUACCGCGGGUCAACAUCUAGUUAUAUUGCAUUUCAAAAUUACCUUCUACUAUUCUCAACCAAUUAGCUUUUAAUAAAUUAUAAUUGUGAAUUAAAAAAAUGGACAAUUUUCGUUUUACUUGGAAAAUCAAAUUGUGUGUUAAUAAAAAUAAAAGUGAAGAACGGUUCAAGAUGCUAAUCUAACUUCCGGUUUGAUCCAUAAGAGAUAACAUCCCUAAUCGAGAGCGGUACCUGGUUGUCGUGUAGCCUAGUAGUAGCUCUAAUUAAGGUCUGACGAGACACAUCACCUCACCGAGCACAUCCUUAAGAAACCCUAAUCAUCUCUCGCAUUCGGAUUGGAAUCGCCUCCUGGAGCUUUCGACAUUCUCGUGUUGUCUCUCAAUUUCAAUUACCUAUUUUACGCUUCAAUACAUUUUUGUCGUUUCUGAGGGUCUGCAACCCUAUCUAUCUUCCAUCGCUUUCAAAUCGCCGUCCAUCAGAGUAUUCUUCUUGUUGGUUGGUUGGUCUCGUUUUUCAAGGAUUUUGUAUAAAAGAUCAAUCCUUUCGUAGAUAUUAGCGACGAUUGAUCAUUUUUCUUCUUCUUCGUUCUCCUCCUUCUUCACCUUAACUUAAUAGAUUCAUCUUUCGUUUCCGUUCCAUUCGUCAUUACUUUCAGCUGAAAUUGGGAAAUUUUGAUUCUUGUUUUUAUCUGAAAAACUCUGUCUUGUUAUCGGAAUCGGGGUUGUUUGAGUUUGAUAGAGGAAAGAAAAAAAAGAUGGUUGGUGGUGGAAACAGAAGAGAUGAGGGAUCGAUGCCGAUUCAGAACACCAACUUGUUUGCUGCUUUGGACACUAGGAAGAAGAAGAAGUCAGAUAAGGCUGGUAAGAGCAAAGGUUCCUCUAAGUCCUCAUAUCCACACAAGGAGCCUGAGCCACAGGUCUUCUGGGCUCCUACGCCUCUCAAAGCAAAAGCUUGGGCUGAUAUCGACAGCGAUGAUGAAGAUGACGACUAUUACGCUACCACUGCUCCGCCUCAGUCCAUGUGGAGCACUUCUGAAGCCUCCCAUUCCGAUGCUAAAGACGUUCACGUUGAGGUUACAAGUCAAAAUUAUCUCAUUUCCUGUUUCAUUAUGUGAUUUUGGAUUUAUCAUCGUGAUUAUGCAUUUGAAAGAAGAUGGAUUGCAUUGUUGAAUGUUCAAGUGGAAUUGUUAAAUUAGUUUAAUUUGUCUCUGGCAAUAAGCCUCUUUAGAUUUCAUAUUCUUUCAUUGCACUCUCGUUGAAGACUUAAGAGUUGAAUGAUUUGGCUUUCUUUUUCUUUUCUUGCAAUUAUAUAUCAGUGAUUCUUUUCAUUUAUCCAAUUGUAUACCUUUGCUGUUAUAGAAAGCUUUCUAGGCAAUAUAAGUUUGCAACUCUGGUUGUUUGUAAAAUUGUCGUUGUAUGCCUAUCUGUUCAUUGGUUUCUGAUAGAGAUGCAUGUAAAUUCAAUGUCACAGGAGAGUGAAAGCGAAGAGGACAUUCUCGAUGAAGGAGAUGAUGAUGAUUUGGAGGAAGAACAAGAACAAGGAACAGAGAUGCAAGUUCAUCCAGAGGCAGAGCCUGAGGUGAAAAAGGCUCCUGAAGUUCAUGCACCUCCUAAGGAGGCAGAGAGGCAACUUUCCAAGAAAGAGAGGAAAAAGAAGGAACUUGCUGAGCUAGAGGCUUUGUUAGCAGAUUUUGGAGUUGCACCCAAAGAUGAGAAUGGUCAAGAAGACUCUCAAGGUACUCUACUGUAUUCUCAUUCAUUAUGUGGGAUACCUCUCUACAUUGACUUAUCAGUGUCUUGAGAAAACUAUGUUAGCUAAUACUGAUAGACGCAUCUUCUCCCAAAUAUCUAACAGAGAAGCAAGGGAAGAGAGAAGUCAAUGAUGAGGGAGAGAAGAAGGAGAACACAACUGGAGAAUCGAAGGCCUCAAAGAAGAAGAAAAAGAAGGAGAAACAGAAGGAGGCGAAAGAAUCUCAAAAUGAAGUGAAGAGUAACUCAGAUGCUGCAAGUGAGUCUGCUGAGCAGGAGGAGGAGUCUUCUUCGAUUGAUGUCAAAGAACGGCUAAAGAAGUUUGCAUCGAUGAAGAAGAAGAAAUCAAGCAAAGAGACGGAUGGUGGUGGUGCAACAGCUGCUGCAAAGGAAGCAGCAGCGAGGAAGGCAAAGUUGGCCGCUGCAAAGAAGAAAGAAAAGAAAAACUACAAUCAGCAACCGGUGAGGUGAAGAAAUCAAUCCACCCACCGUUGUGAUAUGAACAUGUGGUUGACGGGUUUUGUUCAUAUGAGACUUGCCUUGAACAAAUCUUUUGAUGGGGAAUGUGGUUGGCCCGUAUUUUAGAAUUAUGACUUGGAUCUUUUUAAUCGUAUCACAGUGAGACAUGAAAUGAAAAGGUUUCUAUUUGAAUUCUUCUCAGUUCUUCUCGGAUAUUUUUCUUUUCUCUCUGUUUUCAUUAGAUCCUUUAGGGACAUGUAUUGAUUUGCUAAUAAUCCAGUUGAUUAACUACGGAUCCAAAUUGACAAAAUCAACUUUAACUUUGAAAAUUUAAUAAUGUAAUGUUAAAAGAAAUAGGUGAUAUCGUUUUUUUUGUGUUUUUUUUGGGGUUCCAGUGGUGCUGCGUAAAUAUCGUAUUUGGGCAACAAAAAAAGAAGAAGUUGGUAUAUUUUUUCUUUUAGACAAUUCGCCGGCGCUGUUGCUCUGAUCGAGAAAUGUGGAGAAGAGUGGUCGGAAAUGUCGCCGUCCGGCAUCAUUUACAGCGAGCUCUAUCAAGUAAAGCCGGUGGAAGUGGAAAGAGCGGCAACGUUUCAGCUGCUGUGGAUUCGAUGCUUCUGCGUUCCCUUAAGGAACAUUACCUUGAAGUUUCUAAGAUGACCCCUCCUCCGGUUCGUUCCUCCCCUUGUCUGUGUUUCUCUCUACGCUUCGUCUUAGAUACAACUGAAAUUUAUGUGUUGUUUACUUAAACCCUAGAUACUGAUUCGUGCCCUUAGGGUUUUUGGUGGGAUUGGGAAUUACAAUCUAUGACCGGAUUUUUCAUUGAAUUUGCAGAAAGUGAGCCCUCCUUCACCGUUUGAGAUUGUGAAAGGAUCCCUUGAAGGAACUGGGGCUGUUCUGCAGAAAUCUACUGGUAAUGAAGAGAUCAGUCUUUUCGUUAUGCGGUUGGCUCAUGGGGGUGAUGAUGAAGACGAUGAUGGGAUCAAUCAGUUGUUCCUCCAUGUGGCUGUGUCCAAGCCAAAUCAGGCUGAUUCUUUGCAUUUCCUUUGCGGUCUUUACCCUGAUGCAUUGGGUAUCCACUCCGUUUCCAUGAGACCAAAACUCGAGGCUUUGGAGAUGUCUGAUGAUCCUGCUCAAUACACUGGCCCUUCUUUUGAGUGAGUUUCCCUCUCUUUUAAACUUCUUUUUUUUAGUGAAUUCCUCUCUUUAAAUUUGAGAGUUUUGCUCAUAUUUGCUCACGUUUCCAAUAAUUCAGCUUAUGAUUUGAUAACAUAUACAUUGCCAGUGGCCAUUUUAGGUGGUUUCAUUUCUAUCUUAUGCUGUCUCCUCUUGUUACACUUACAACUGUCACUGUAGGAAUAGGUGGUAUUGAAUAGGCUAACUAAGCUUAUCGUCACUUACUGAACUUAUCUCAUACUUUCUGAAGGAUAAUUUCAAAAAACAACGUUCCUAUAUUGUACCAUCUUUUUGGUCAUUUUCUGAUAGACAUUGAGGAAUGUGAGUUUAGAAUGGAGUGGUGGUAGAUGUGGCUGUGUAGUAUCACUAUUGACACAAUCGGUUUGCUUUCUAUUAUUUAUCCUCCAAAAGCAAUGAUUAGUGUUUGACCGGUUCUUCACAUUCUUUUUCAAUGCAUAUCUCAGUUGUAAAGAAGAGAGCUUGCAUUUUGCAUUCAAUUUAGCUUUCUGUUUUUCUCCGUCCUGAAUACAACACGGAACUAACUGUUUCUAUUUCUUUAACAGAGAGCUCGAUGAGAAGAUGAGAGAUGUAUUCCAUGCCUUCCUAGAAGAGCGAGGUGUGAACGAAAGUCUCUUCCCGUUCCUUCAGGCAUGGCUCUAUGUAAAAGAUCACCGUAACCUACUGCGAUGGUUCAAAUCAGUUGGCACAUUUGUUCAUGAAAACCCAUCUGCAGAAAACGCCUAGAAGACAUUUUUCGGUGCUGGGAUAAGUUUCUGUUAGUUGAUACAGCUCAAAUGUUUCAAGAACUGAAUCACUUUUGCUUCUUCCAAACUUUAAGUAUACAUCCAUGAUAUGAUGUUUUUUUUUUGGUAGUAUCCAUGAUAUGAUGUUAUGUUAAGGAUAGGUUCAUUUUUAUAGACUGUGUGAGCCUCCUUGCGAAAGGUAUAGCUAUCUAUGCUUCAUAUUGCAAACUACCGAUUCUAACACUGACUUUACAAAACCAAUGAAGUCGAUGUCGUAAUUUAAAAAUUAAAACCGUCGAAGUCAUAACGUUUUUUGGUCCAGUAUAAAAGUUUACACUAAGUUUAUUUCAAUUUUUGCGCAGUCCACAAGGGUAAUUUAGCUUGCACAAGGUCUCGAGAGAUCCCUGGCUCUCGUAUAGAGGUGGUACUCGUGAUAAUUAAGAGAAUAUAUAAAAACAAGUAUUUGGAACACGCUCAAACUCAAUCAACGAUUCUCGAACUCUUCUACACACUCUUGAGGGUUCCAAUUCACAACGGCAAAAAGCAUUUACAGAAAGGGAACCUCGGCGUUUCUUUCUUCACCUUCUUUGCACCGAGUAGCAAACCCUAUUGUGUAGGAACAACGCAAAACGGCUUACUUGUACCGUUUUCUCCAACAUAGAGCAACCUCAGACAUCUAGAUAACAUUGUUGGCCAAACCAUUCUCAACUCUAAGUUCACUCCGUUGUUGUUGUUGCAGUUGCUGUUGUUGAUGGUUUUCGUUUUCCCCAGAAGAGAGCGAGCUCAAGAUCCCUUGGCUUGUCAAAUCUGAGUUCUUCUCCCCAACUUCGCUUUUGCAAAGAGGGCAAGAGGCAUUGAUCUUCAGCCAUUUGUCAACGCACUCUUUGUGGAAGAAAUGUGAGCAUGGAAGCUCUCUUAACUCCUCGUUAUUCGCAUAUUUCGCCAGGCAAAUGCAACAGACCUGCAAAAAAAGGUCUAUAUUCAGAAACUUAUUGUAUCUAUGUGUUUGUACGUGUACAGUCAAAGUGUCAGCAAACUCACUGCGUCUUCUCCUGAAAUUGUACGUUCCUUAUCUGUUCCAGCCGCCACAACUCCACCUUCGCUAGUGCUUGAACCAUUGUCAUCGCCACUACUUCUGCUUUUCUUCAACUUAAAUUUAUGAGUUGGCAACGCAUUUAUCGACUCAGGUGUGGCACCUCGAGGCUGAGUUAAAUCUUCUCUAUAUCCGAGAAUUGAGAUUAUGCACGGCAAGCAGCAACAUAUAGUUGUGCAGAGGAUGAAGGGCAUCGCAUAGCCAAUACAGCUAAAGGUAAGAAACACUAAACAUAACCUAUAACAUACAAGAGAACAUAAAUAUGGGUCAGUUUUAACAAUUAUAGCCUGAGGGUUGAGUCAAAAUUAGGCAUAGCUAAGAGAAUAUCACCUGUACAAGUUAGGAGCCUCAGCAGCAGAUGAAUGUCCUCCAAAUAUCCAUACAUUACCUACCACAAACCACACCGCGAAGAAGCAAUCCAGAGCCAUUUUGAAGUAUUCCACAAUAACUUUAAGUCUGACCAAAAUCAAAGACUUCAAAUCAGUGACUCUGAGUAGCAAUCAUUGUCAGCACAAAGAAAGAUGUCUGACAGUAGGGACCUCUAAAAUCUCACUAAAUUAUAAAGAGACAAGCUUUGAGAAAACUUAAUUCAAAAUCCAAACAUCCAGUUGAAACAGAUUAUCUAAGAACAUGUGGAUUUACCUGGCAGCACUAAUGAACCCAGGAUAUCUACUACCACGUGAAGACGUGGUAUUGGUCUGUCGACCAUCUCCUUCAGAUGUCCUGGAUAUGGAGAAGGCGAAUGGCCCAGCUGCAACAUUGAGAUUAGGACGAUGCUGGCCAGAAUCCUGCUCAGAGGCCUGAUUCGAGUGAUAAUAUCUCCAGUACAAAAGUGGGAGUGUUGCGACGCAUCCACAGGCAUAACCCACAAUCCAAGCGAACAACGGUGCACGAGGAUGCUCAUGUUUUGACAAAGACAAAACAACAAUAGCUGCAAUGAUCUGACCAAGAGUGAGGAAUAGUUCAAUAGAAAUCCAUAAGCCAGAAUUCAAAGGACUUCUUCUGCGACGGAUGCUUCUGGGAUUCGAUCGCAUAGAUGAGGAAGAAGACACUGUAGCUGGCUGAGGAGCAGACAUGGGAGGUAUAAUCGAGGGUCUCUCUUCCUCGUGUUGUAACGGUUCCAAAACGUUUGAGAUUCUAUCAUGAGAAGAAGAGGAUGAUGAUGCAAUGGCGGCAUUUCUUGGAAUGUCAAUGAUGAUGUGCUCAUUUCGGUUAAGAUUACUCUCUGAUGAUCGUUCCAUGAAUCUAGAAAAGGUAUCAGCUUGAUUUGUAAUACGAUGUUGUUGUUUCAGAAGAGAAACACCCAUCUAGGUUUUGUCCAGUUUGCACAUACCACACCAUGGAACAUAACCCUGAGAUCCUCCUAAGAAAUCCAUAGAGAAGAAACAAACAAAUUGAGAAAGCUUAAACCCUCCAAUGACCUUAAAAACCAACCGCCAAAAUCAUGAAUUUGUGUCUGUUGCAGGAUUUAAAACAUCAGAAUCCGACUAAAGACAACAAAGAGCUCAAUCAUAAACUAAAGUAAGAGAGACAGCCCCAGAUUAACCCAUGAAAUUAGGGCAAAAACAAAGAAAAAUGAAAAGCAAGAUCGUACAUAUCCCAAGAUUUUUCAGAACAAAAGAAGCAUAAAAGAAAAAUGAUAAAGCAAGAAACCUAAUUCGCACCUGAAUAUAAAAUAUGAGAAGAGAAUGAAGCAAAUUAAGGAACAAACCUGCUUGAAUGGUUGAUUUGGCUUGUCCUUUCUGGUCGUAAGGUGAAAUGAGAGAGCCACCGGAAGAAGAAAACCCAGAAACCAAGACAAGGAAUUCUAAUCGAGAAGAGUCAACUUUUUCAGCAAUCGGAAAAAUCCUUUUUGUUGUUUGUUGAUCUUGUAGAGUUUUCUUCAAAUGUAUUUUGCCAUUAUUUUAGUUUUUCUUUUUUGGUUUUGUGUUCACCGAUCAACCAAGGAGAUAAAAAAUAUAUUCAUAUUUAUAUUUAUUUUCUCUGGAUAUAAAAAAGAAUUCGAAGCCAAACCGCAAUCACAAAAAAAAAAAAAAAAAAAAAAAUUAAGUAUAGAUAAAUACAGAAUGAUGAUGAUUCAGAAUUUCAGAAUCAGAUAGUGAUGCUUCUUUGUCUCCUUCCUUUCAUUUCUUCUUUCCCAACAAGAAAGAAGAAACAAAAAAAAACGAAAAAAAGUAAAAGUAAAAAUAAAAAAAGGAUUGCGAAGAUAUUUUUUGCUUUUGGACUUUACCCCCCUGUAUUUGGGCGCGCGUAAGCCAUGACAGUUGUCAAAGAUUACGAUGGUUCGAGUACUAAAACCAAGUUCUAAUUCCUGUUAUUUGAUUUUACUAUUUAUCAUAUCUCUGUAACCAACCAAUAUUGUCUAGUAACAGACAGUUGCUUUACAAGUAGGUGUUGAACAUAUUCAAGAACUCAAGCAAAGUUGUUUUACGAAAAGAAUCUUCCAUUCAUAUGAGACAACAUACAAUACGGAGAUGUGUUAUAUACACAUAAAUAUGAUGAACGAAUAACCCUUUACAUUGUUUUACUUCUUCCACUGCGGAAUCCGCUGCACCACAACCUAAACAAAACCCAUUCAUCUCAAUGAGAAAGAUUAUAAAGACAGAUAAAUAAAUAAAACCUCUUAUUACGAUCCCAAACAUGACAAAAGUUUUGGGCACAUUAGCUACAAACGCGUCUAUCUAUCUAUAUGGGUUACCUUUCCUGAGUUUUGUUUGUUCCCUACUAUUGUUUGACAUGCGAGUCUCCAAGAUUCUGGCUUCUGCACAAAAUAGUACCAAUGCCUUCAGAUUUAAUAAACAUCCAAAGUUCUUAUUUUUUUCGAAUUUGCAUACCUAAGAAGAGUUGGGGCAAGUAUACUUAUUAUUCACCAUAUCAGACAAACCAUGUGUAAUCACAACUUAACAUGAAACAAUGCUCAAUAUUUGUAUUUGAUUCAGCUUGUUCGAGUGCACAUACCCAAUCCAAAGCUCUUAAGUAAAAUGAGAAAGUGAAUCAAACAAUAAUAUAGAGAGGAGCAACAGAAUGACUAGCCUUUUUCAGAUACCGGUUUUCGGUAUCUGUUCUCUCGUUCAGAAGAUCUCUGCCAUCUAGUAUCUGCACACAUGAGAAGACAGACCAAAUGUGUUUGUUUCCCUUUAAGUGUAUAGCCCAUCAAAAGACACCAAACACAAAUCUCUCUCUUAUCAUCCACUUGUGAUAACACAAAAUUUAUAAUCAUAAUCAAGAAAUAUGAUAAGAAGUCACUUGCCUCCACAAUACAAGUUCCACAGCUUCCUCCACCUCCACAGUUCAUCACUUUACCCUAAUCAUCACAAAUUCCCCAAAGGCUCAAGCCAUUAACAUAUUUCCCUCCAAACACCCCAUAAUCCAGAACUAGCUAUUCGAUUGGGUAGCAAAUUGUUCCAGAAACGAGUUCAUCCCAUUUCAAUGUAUAUCAAGAUUGAGCAAAUUUCUAGAUGAAAAUGGAGGGGUGUGUAUACACUCACGUAAGCAGCAUAGAGUUCGAUUUUGUUGUCCUGCAUAAUACUUCUCAUAAGCUUCUGACCACUCACAGCCUUGGCUUUAUCCACCGGAUACGACCCGUCGCUCCCCGGCUUCGGCUACAAUCAGACGCCCAAUAAAAAAUAAAAAUAAAUCUCUCGUGAGUUUUAAAACGAACUGUAUCAGAACUCAAAUCGCACGGAUAGUUACACCGAAGAACUCGAGCUCGAUCAAAGGAGGCGUUGCUGCAGAAAUCUCCUGCUGCGGAGAUGGUGCUUGAGAAGAAGAAGAAGAAGAGCUGUUACAGGAGAUAACGCGAGCGCUUCCACUUCCAGAAAAUUUUCGAUGCUGCUGAAUUUGUACAGUAGAGAAUGAGAAGCCGAGGUUGAAACCUAGUGAGGUCAUUUCUCCCGGCUGAUUCUUCCCGUUUUAGGUUCCGAUCUCCGGCGAAGAUCCCCGAAACUAGAGGGAUAAAGUGCAAACCGCGAAUUACGUGGACUUCCGUCUUCCAGAUGUUAUUAUUAGGAGGCUUCUAUCUUUCUUUCUUUUCGGCUAACCCGUUAAAAGCCCAAUAAACUCUCUUUCUGUCAAAAGCCCACCAAACAUGUCAUGUGAAUUUCACAAGUAAAUUAUUCUGAAUAGAAUGGCUUACGGUAAUGGAUGGCACUGGGAGGCUGGGAGCUGUAUGAGAAAUGAGGUGGGCAACAAGAGAAAGUAGAACAGUCAGAGACAGAAAAAGAGAUGACCAAAUUUUGCAAUCAUAAACUUUGUUCGCCACCUUAUUGGUCACUUAAUCAACGUUCGAUAUCAUCGUUUAGUCGAUUAUUUUUCCAACUGUGGCAUCCUUUUUUUUUUUACUUUUUCCAACUGGUAAUUUUGACAGUUAUCAAGAUUAUGUUUAGCAAGUAAACAAACGAUUUAUUAGUUAAACAUUUAGGGUUACUACAGAAGGAAACUUAUGUGAGAGGCCAUCCUUAUUCAUUACUCUAUUUUAAUUAGUCUUAACCUAUUGUUUAAUAUCUGAUGAAUGCUGAUAAUAAAUAAAAUAAAGCACACAUGCAGCAAUAUAGACCAGAAUCCUAAGCCAAAAAAAAAAUCUAAUUAAGGGUUUUGUGUAAAGAACAAGAAAGCAAAACACGUGCUCCCAUAAGAAGACACAAUUAUGCUUCUCUAUCAAACCCCCCACGGGAGACUAGUUAAUAUUUUUUAAAAAAUCAGUUACUCUUCUUCAAUAAAAUAUUUAUAAAAAAAAACCAUUUCAUACAUGUGAUUUCUAUCUGUAUAAAGAUUUUUAAAAAAGCCAUUUCAUAUAUGUACAAAUUUAAAAUUGUACAUGUAUUAAAUGACAUUUUCCAAAUUUAGGAAACCAAGCGUUACACAAUAAAGUGAACAAAAACAGAACGUCGCUCUCUCCUCUCCCUAACAGUAAACCCUAGCCUCCAUUUAAGCUCUGUGGCUGGGAAGUCACUCCGGUGGUCGGCACUUCUUGUUGACGCCGUGAGUGGCUUCCCCUUUAGGAGUUGUUCUAGUUUUUUGGUUCAGCAGUCUAUCUAUCUCUUAGUGCUUGGUGGAAGAAAGCUUAAUCGAGCAAAAUGGUAGAUUUUCACGGCGGGGAUCGUUGGUGCCGUCAGUGGUUAGCUUCUCCAAAGAGAGUUGUUGGUUGGUGUCCGAGAUCUCUAGAUCUGUCGGGUGCUCUGUUUUUGUAAGAGGUUUGGUGUUUCACGAAUCCUUGGCCAUAGUCUCAGCCAUUUUUGCUUUCGGUAAGCGGGUCUUUUGGCUGCUCUUCUAUGCCGAUUUGCUAGAGUCAGAUGGCUUUCUUUUAGUUGGUUAUGUAUAGUGGUUGCUUAAUUUGUUCCUUGGUAGUUUCGAGUUCAGCGGUAGUAGCCUUCAUUUGGGAAGUCCUUUGUCUUGAUUCAAGUGUUGAUGGCUUGUGUUGGUGGUGUUGUUGGAGCGCUCAUUUGAGCUGGAUCUUGUAUUUACAGAGAAUGGGAGGAUUCCGGAUCAGUUUGAUCGACGGGUUGGGCUCAUUGGUUAUACUCUUUGUCUAUACUUGAGCUGGUUAUGAUUUUGUUGAUGUUCAUGUGCUUAUCGUUGUGUCUAAGCCUCCAAGUUUCAUGCUGUCUCCUCGUCUCAGCUGUGGAUUUCCUUUGGAUUCGUUUUCCUUCUAAAGAGAGGUUUCGUUUUGUUUGAAUGUGAUGAUAGAAAAUCUGAAGUUUGCCGAGUUCCCUCUUCUUGUUGUCGUUCUCUGUGGAUGUUAGCUUUCUCGCUAUUCGCCGAUUUCGUUUAUGUGAUUGGUGGUUUGAGGAGUUAAGCUUCGCUCCUUGCGUUUUGAAGACUUCUAGUUUGACGUACUUUGGCGUAUCAACGUCGUCGUCGCUUCCGGAUGUGAGUGGUCUUGCUUGCCGUGUUAUGAAGUCUCUGGUUCCUGGUUUUGAGAGAUUGGCUCUCCGCGUGUUAGGAGGUAGUAGAUGUUAUCCUUGAAUUGGCCGUGGGCAUUCGGGGUAAGUCUCAUUCGAUUGUGCUCCAGAAGAGGAGGUGCUUUGUUUUCUCGUUUCUUUUAUUUCUCUUAAGGUUUUAUCGCCGGUUGCCUCUUUUUUAGAUUUUGGUUUCGUUUCCCUUUUGAUUUGGCUUAAAAACUUGUGUUAUGUUUGUAGUUUUCCGAUCGUUUCCCUUUUAUAGGGCGUAGCUUCUGGGGAAAUUUUAUUUCUGCCGGCUUUGACUCCGGGGAUAUUUACGUCGUCCGCCGGCUUUAGUUUCCCUCUUUUGGGCUUUGUAUUUCAUCUUUGACACCAAAUCAAGUUUUAAUAAAAUUCCAGUUGACAAAAAAAAAUAUUAAAUGACAUUUUCCCCUUUAAUAUAUAUUGAUUUUUACACAAUUCUUUUCUUUUUUCUUAUCAAACACAUAAUUUCUCUUAAUAUAUUUUAUUUUCUACUUUAAUUUCAACUCGAUUACACCACAGAAAUUUGCACACACAAAAAUAAAAUAAAAUAAAAAAAGUAGGAAAGAUCAAAGGAGCCAUCUUUGAAGUGGGAAGAUCGUCAUGAGUAGUUGUAAAAUCGAUUUCAUUCAGAAGAAAUAGGUUAGGUCCUACUCAGAUUAGAGUAUAAGGAUUCGUCAUGAGUUCUCUUUCUCUCCUACUCAUAUUAGAGUAAGAACCCAAAUAUAAUAUAGUACUACUUCAUUCAAAAUUCAACCACUCCCACUUCUCCAAACCAUAAACCAUAUAUAUAUAUAUGGAAAUUGCUACAACUAUCUCUCUGCAGUCAAAUCAGCCUUAUGUCAACAACAACAAGAAAAAAAACAACAAAUAUUGCAUUCAAAUUGUAAGUUAUAAUGCAUUGCUAUUUGAAGUUUGGUAAAAUUUAUUUACAGUAUUUGUAGUAUUUUAUAAGUACUGUAUUUGACCCUCUUUUAUUAUUUGCAAUUUUAAAUUGAAUACUAUUUGUUUGGCGCCUAAUUACCAAACUAUAUCUCCACAGACAAACAAUGUAUUUACUAUUUGUAUUUAAAUUCAAAAAAAUGAUUAUUUGACGUGUAAUUUUUUGAACUAAUCGAUCUAACCACCAAUAUAUGGGUGGAGUAUUUAACAGUAUACUGUACUACAAAAUGAUGUUUAGCAGUGACAACAUUACCAACUAACCUAGGAACUACUGAAAUUGUUUUUUUUUUGGGUGCGGAUAGGUUAGUAGUGUGUUGGUUAGAUUAGCUACACAUCUCACUUUCUCAAAUCAAUAAAGUGUGUAUCUUUCUAACAUUAUUAUUCUAUGAUGAUACCUCAAAAUUUUUAUGUUUAAAACGAGUCUUCGAUGCCAUGAUUUUACAAUCUUUACUUUUUUUUUUUUUUUUUUUUUUGAACAAACAAUCUUUACUUACGUUUUCUUUUUUUUUUGUUGGCUGAGUUCUUUAAUCAUAUUUUAUCAGAUUAUUAGUAUUAUAUUAAGGGGAAUUAAAUCAUGUAAGAGAAACCCAAUAAAGUAGGGGUGUGUUGGCAAACUAGUACGUUUUUGAAACAUAAUUAUAAAGAUAGUACAUUUACUAUUCACAAUUAGCAAAAUAGUACAAUUUUACUAUUUCAGAUAUUUGUACAGACAGACAACUGUACAGUAACAUAUUAUUGUACAUCAAAUAUUUGUACAAAGAGAAACAACUACAUAUAAACAUAUUUACACAUAAACAAAUAUACAUAUAUAAACCAGAAUAUAUAUGUACACAUACAAUUAUACGUAUAUAUAGACCGUUGUACGAAUGAUUUUCCGUACAUCGACACACAACUGUACAUAAGGUUAGCUGGACGUAUCAAAUUUGUUUGAAAAAUAUAUGAAAUUAUUUUUUAAAAAAUGCAUAUCAAAUUAUAGAGAAAAAAAUACAGAUUUUUGUGUAAUUGAAAUUUUAUAGAAAACAAAUAUAUUUUGAUAAAUUUUUUUAGUUAUUAUAUUUAAGAGGAUUUUUAAUAGUGUCCAAAUAGUAAAAAUGUAUUAAUUUGCUAAUAAUAAAUAGUAAAUGUACUAAUUAUAUAAUUAUGUUUCAAAAAUGUACUAAAAGCCCAAUUAAUCCAUAAAGUAGUUUGAAGAACAAAAAGACAACCUUUUUUGCCCUUUUAUAAUUUACACUUAUACCCAGAAAGAAAUAAAAUAACAUUCUGAUCUCUCUCUCUCUCUUUCUGUCUCUCGUUGAGUGUGUCCAUGAAAUAAUAAUAAUAAUACCAGAGAGAGAGGGAGAGAGAGAGGGAGAGAGAGACUGUAAUGUGGUGGCGAAGUUCGUGGCCACACUAAUACUCUGCUUUGAUGAUGAUGAGGAACCACAACAAUGGCGAGCGAACCACUGAUCUUGAUUCUCGUCUCCUGCAGCAAGAACAGGAUAAGCUCUUGUUCCAUGACUUCUUAGGCUCCAAGACUCCUGCUUUACCCUCCCCUUCCAUGGCUGACCACAGGCUACCUCCGGAUUAUAAGGCGGCUAAACCGGCCAUGACUCCCUCUAUGGCUUCGGCUUCCUCCGCCGGUGGACGCGGUGGUCUCUCCUCGACCUCCGAUCUCGGUUCUGCUCUCCUCCCUUUCUCUCUCUCUCACUCUCUUUCUCUUGAUGUGGUUUUGAGCUGAUUCCUCUGUACACUUGUCGUUUCCAUCUACAGAAAGUUCAAAAUUUUUGUUACAUAGAUUCGAUUUUAAAGUUCGAUUCUUUCGUUUUCCAAGCCUGAAUUAACAAUCGAGUUUUGAUCAACCAUGAUUUGGAAAUGUAGAAGAUCAUGUGUCAGUGCUAGUUUCAACUUUUUAGCUCAAUUCAUUUAUGACUCCAUCUUUUAAGUAGGAAAUGGAACAUCUUUUGGGUGAAGUUAAACAAGAUAUGAGUGUACAUUGUCUAGUUUUCUUCUCUUGCCUUUGUUUUAGUUUGAAAAUUUUAUAAACUUGAACAUGGAUUUUGGGUGAGCAUGUGGUUGAUUGAACUAUAAUAGUGAAGGACUCUGUCUCUCUGUCUGUCCAACCAUAAUGUCUCUGGUGGAUUAGUUGGGACAGUGGGAGUGAAUUUGACUGAUGAGUUUGGUGGGUCAUAGCCAUUGGAGGUUGUACUGCUCUUUUGUAUGAAUUAGCCUUCUUUUUUUUUUUUUACUUCUCUUUCCCACUCUCUCCUUGAGUUCCUCCUACUGCAGUCUGAUAGAUUUUAACUUUUGUUUAGUGGAAAGACACAGCGGCGGGGGGAAUCAUCUUGAUGGGAUACAAUUGUUUGGACCAAGAAGUGAGGUUUCUGGCUCGAUUAUGAGCAAUCGAUUUUCGGGAAACAAGAGAAGUACCUCGGAUUCACACUUCUCAACGCAAGAGCACCCAGAGACUCUGCAUUGGUCCAAGGUAAAAAAGAAAAAAAAAACACAACUUCACCAUGUUCGUAGCUUCCAUAUAAGUUAUAAUUCAGUUUCUGUAAUUUGUCAUUGUAAUAACCUAGUUGCUUAGAAACGGACCUGGAAGCUUCUCCAUGAAUGUGAAUCCCUUGGCAAACCAGCCUCCACGUGGAGGAGGACAGAUCAGUCAUUUGCUUCAUCAGCUGUCUUCAAGCAGGUUCAAAGAUGAAAACGUAGGUCCAUCAGCUAUCGCUCAGACAGCUGCUGAUGAAGGUUCACGAACAGGGAUGAAAGGUCCCGGUAUCUUGAGUUCUUUUACAAUGCCAAACCCGACCAAGCUCGAAAGUUUUCCCCCUUCAAGGUCAGUUAGCUUCUACUGUUCUGUCUCUGGUCUUUUUGAUACUAUCUUCCGAGGCAUUUCAAUACAUUUUGUAUUUAGCACCGGAAUUCGGAAAGACGUGAAGUCAAGUACUAAGCAAAUGACCAUCUUCUAUGGCGGUCAAGCUCAUGUCUUUGAUGAUGUUCUACCAAACAAGGUGAUUCUCCUUAACACUUACAUUCUUGAAAUUCAAGUUAUUUGACUACAUAUUGAAAUCUAAUAAAGUAGAGAAACUGGGAAGUCCAUUAUAUAUAAACGUUUUUUCUCUUUUGCAGGCGGAUGUGAUAAUGGCCUUGGCAGGAUCAAGCGGGGGCUCAUGGUCUACCGGUUUGUCGCAUAAACCAAAGUCAAAGAACAACACAAGUGACUGUCCAUAUAAAAUAGACCAAAUGUAUGAAGGAGGCAGCUCUAGAGAAACACCGCUUUUGGUUACGGAUUUUCGUGCAAGGCCAAGUCAUCAAGCUACAUCCAGGGCCUGUCAGCGGAUCUUUUCACAACAAGGUGACUAAUUUUUAAACAAAAUCAUAUUUCAGCAGAAAUUUUGGUUAGCGUCUUACAAAUACACAAUGGAGUGGAGCAAUCAGGUCUUGUUCUGCAUUGUGAGACAUAACAAAUAAAGAGUUAUCAACAGUUCUGGGUUUUGUCAGCUUUGAAUCUUUUUGUCAGGCCAUUAAAACAUGUGCAUAUAUGAUUUGCAGGUAGAGAACAUCAAGGAAGUAUCAUCUCAAGGGGACGAGAUACCAGAGAUCCGGUUCACAUAUCAGAUCCUGAAAAAGAAGCCACAUGAUUUAGUCUGGAUAUGAGAGACGUGCUUAGUUGUCUUUUUUUGGCAAAUUAUCUAAGUUGUUAUUUGUUCGAGUUAAAAGCUUUGUACAAUGCUCUGUACCUUUCUAGGUUUAUAUUCCGAAUUUAUUACCCUUAAUGAUUUAAAGUAUAAUUUCCCCAUAGCUAGUAUAUAAACAAUUGGUCAAACAAACCUGCUUUUUCUAGGCCAACAGAUUUUCAUAUAUGUGUAAGGUUGAGCAUAUGGAUACAGUAUCACAAGAGAAUCAUGUCUAAACCAACUCUGGAAGUCUGUAACUCGAAAGGAGAGUCACCUCAUAUCACCUUAUUCAACCCCUUCUUUCGAGUCAGAGGUGGUUACAACAGAUAUUUGACUCCUCAGCCUCUCAUUCUCAGUACAUUCCUCCUGCAAUUGAAAAAAUUAGCACUAUAUAAGUAGAUGACUCUCGGGAGUUGAAUCGUUAUAUCAGUAUAACCACUUGUUUCCUCUUUUGUGCUUACCUGGAAUGCUCUUAGUACAGUGUAGCAUUUCCUUUGCUCUGCAGCUGCAGCAAGAUACUUUUCUUUUGAAGCAUCACGAAGCCUCUGCUCUUCUAGAAGCCCAAGUUGUACUUUUCCUAUCUUCUGCACUUCAAACAAUUUGUCACGACAAGUCAUACAGCUAAAGUUAUGUAAGAUGGGCGAGAUUCAUUCUUUGUGCCCCAAAUACCUAAAUGAAUAUAACUCUCUUACCUGUUGGAUUCCUUUCAUUACUCCUUCCAUAGAAUCAAUAAGCUUCACACGGCCAGCAGGACGGCCAAUCACGUCUUGAAACUACAUUGGAGUCAACGGCUAAUGAGGAAGAAUUGUGAAACUUUGACUCACCAAGAGAUAUACUAAAAGGGGAAAGCAAAACGUAAAUCAACUUAAUAUGAACCUAGCCUUUUCUCAACGAUAAGUACAUAAUAACUAAAGGUAUAAAACUGAGAGCAGUAAAAACUAAAAAGCAGAUGACGCCAGUUACAGAAAAUCUACAAAACAAUAACGCCUGUAAUGUACCUGUGAACCUAUUGAAUUUAAUAAUGAUGUCUCCUUUAGCAUCAAAUCUUUGAUUUCUAAAAGAGCAUUGUAUGUUGCAUAGAGCUUCCUAGUUUGCUGAAGUUUCUCCUGUUUUUUAGUCAGAAAUUGAACAAAUGUUCAAGCUUGUAAGUUCAUUUUCAACUACAGAACAAACCUGCAAAGCAACACGGCAAAUAUUAAUUUGACCAUUCAAACCUGGAUACAGACAUUCAACUCUGAGAAUCUUCUUUCAUAUCUGCACGGAAUGUAAUGUAGAACUUUAGCAUGAGACAAAUACAAAGCAAGGGGGAAAUUAACCAUAAUGAAACUGGAUUCCCUUUGAACAAAAAAAAAAGAAACUGGAUUCCUAAAAGCAAGACGCAAAGGAACUUGACUUCUGAAAUAAUGAUUCCACACCUUUACAACAGAAUUAAAGAUAUAUGCUCAUCAAACUAGAGGGAGUGGGGUUAAAACAGAUACAUUGUUGAGAUGGACGAGUUUCAAUGCUAACUAAUACACAAAUACAAGUGCCAAAUCCAAGGCAUCGCCUUUGAAGAAAGCAAGAAAUAGAUAAAGAAGGGCAUACUGGAGGAGUUCUGAUUGGCAUGGCACAUCAUCAAUCUGUCGUUUCAGUGACACUAUUUCUCUAAGCGUUGCUGCAAGCUCCUACAGUAAAACAAAAGAAAUGCAGUAAUAACCUUUUAGAAAGACAUUUAAAAAACCUGAACUUUACUCCAUGAUGCUCAAGAUGCAUAGAGGCUUGUCUAUAGCUUAGAUAGAGUACCUUCUUUGCUGAAGUCAGAUUAUCUAAAGAUUCAACCAACAAACCAUCUAAAUAUUCCUCUUGAAUCUCACCAUCAUGCCCCUUAGCGACACUCUCUUUCAAAUCAUGAACCGCACCUUCUAAAGCAGAACGCCUAGCAUUGCAAUUAGACCGGACUUCAGAUUCCUCUUUUUCUAAAUCCUGAAAAAACCUACAACUAUUGAGUUCCACACAGGGCCAGUUACAAAAUAGUAAUGAAAACAGAAACUUUUGGUAACCCUCAACACUUAUUAACCUUGAGUGAUCUCAAAAGCUGUAUCAACUCCUGGACUGAAACAUCAACACCUUCAGCACUUAUUCUUUCUUGCAGCUGCUGCAGUGUAUCCUUAACAUCACAUUUUCUCUGAUUCUAAGUUACAAAUGGCGACAGAUUAAAACCUAUCAGUGUAAUUUGAUCAAAAACACCAGUGUAUAAGAUAGACUAGGAAAUAAGAGACGUGAAAGGGUUGCACCUGUUCAUUCAGUGUCACACUCAAUUCUCUAAUAGACGCCUUUAGAUUUGUCACCAUUACCUCAGGCUGCCCUGAAGCACAUUCCUCCUUCCCAGAAAUACAAACCUGUGGUUCUAGAGUAUAUCAGAACUUCUUCCGAAUCUAAUAGAUCAAUUGAGCAUCGAACAUUUCAUUCUUCGAGUACAAAACUUCAGGGAUCAAAACCAUAGCACAAGAACAAACAAAAUCAAGCAAAAAGCUCCUUCUAACCUCGUCACUGUUAUAUUCCUUCUCCAUCACCCGAUCACGCAAAACCGGGAAUUCUUCCUUCGCUGCCGGAGAAUCCGAGUUCAGCGACUCGGAAGAUCGACCUCAGAGACGCCGGAGCCUUCACGAUUGAAAGAAGACGACUUUUCACCGGCGUAAGCCAAAUCUAAAGGGCCACACUCUAUAAGUUUGCGACUGGAAUUUCGUAAUGGCGUUAAUAGCUUUCGCGUUUGCGUUUGCGUUUGAUGUAUGACUCACAAUUUCAGUUUUGAUUGUUUUUUUAACGCGUAAAUAUACUCAUAUAUGCAUUAAAAAAAUUCAAGCAGCAACUACCAAAAAAAAAAAAAAAAUCAAGCAGCUGAACCGAACCAAUACCGAAGCGAAGAGUGUCAGUAAUGAUUAAAGCUGAGCCAAAAGGACUAGUAAGAUUACAACAAGAGUUUUUCACAAUUCCUCAAGAUCCCAAUUUCGUCAGAUCAUACAACAACAUUUGUUUUUCAACAUCUGAAAAACUAUCUUGAGAUCGAGAUAAUGGCCGAGAGAGAGGAGAGGAGAGAACUACAAGUUAAAAAAAAACCCCGAGAUUAAUAAUAAUACCUAAACACAAACUUCUGUUUUCCUCUCAUUGAUAUCACUUCCACAGCUUCACUAGCUUGUCGUGACUUGCUGAUGCAACCAAUCCAGUUGCGGUUGACACCGCCAAUGAAGCUAUUAGCCCUUCGUGAGCUGGUAAUGUCAUCGUCUUGUUCUCUGACAUGUUCCAUAGUUCUAAAGACUGCAUACAUACACAAAACACAGUUCACAAGUUUAGAAGUAAACUUAUGAUUUCUUGAUUAGUUUUCAUUCCAACUUUUUAAACAGUCGUUGUUAUCAUUUCAACUUUACCUGGUAGCAGCCAAUUACGAGCAGCGAGGGGUAAGCGGGAUGGAAAACACAAGACUGGAACUUGUUACCGUUGCAGCUCAGCUCAUGAACACAUUCUCCUUCACUACCUGUACCAAGCGUCCAAACUUUCACCAUAUCUUCGCUAACCGAAGCCAAGAAGUCACCAGAAGGAUCCCAGCAAACCGAGUUUAUCGGAUUAGCAUGCCCCUAUCACAGAAGAAUUAGUAAACCUUCUUUUGAGAUGCAAAAUAUUUCACAAAUCCGAAACCGAAUAAGAAAAGUUAGACACUAAACCUGCAAAGAGUGUCGAAUAGCUUGUGUUUCGACAUCUAGUACAUUGACAAGAUUUGCUGAUGAAGCCGCGAGAUACUUUCCAACACGGGGUUGGAACCUCAUCUGGGUGGAACCACCCUGUGGAAAGACAAAUGUAUAAUUAAUUGUAUUGAUUGCUAACUAAAGUAAAUAAUGUUGAAUCAUUGGUUUCAAGAGAGGAAGAAACGUACCUUGUACACUCUUGUGCAACUUCCAUUGUUGAUGCUCCAGUACCUUAUUUCGUUGUCAUUGUCACAGGAACAUAUGAGAUCAUCCUUGAUGGGAUGGAAGUCAAGUGACGUAACCAUAGAAGAAUGUCCCAUGAAAGUACGAAGGGAAUAACCUUUCUGCAAAGUUGAUUCACACACACUUAAGAUCACAACGUCCGAAACCAAUAUAUUCACGUAGAAAUAAAAAAAAAACAUAGUGAAAACGAUCAACUUUCACUUUACAUUAUCAGCAUCCCACACCCUGACAGUUUUGUCAAAUGAAGAAGUCGCAAGGCGAGACAGGCUUGGACUAAAACGGAUAUCUGUUAUCAUAGCUGUGUGCUCCUCAAGGGUUGUCUUUGGCUUCAUACUGUCUGUGUGCCACAGUACAGCCUGCAGGAUGAACCAUGCCACGAGGCUUAAUUUUUAGAACGCCAAUAGACCUAAUGAUGAUUUCUAGCUUACCUUUUUGUCAUGUCCGGCACUAGCAAGCAUUUUUCCAUCCGAUGAGAAGUGGCAACAGGUAACUUUGCUUGUGCUCGCGCGUACUGAAUUCACUUCAGUAAACGUGAAACCUAGUGCAGAGCCAUAGUUGUAGAAAUUUAGAAAUACUGUUGGAUUACAGAAGCAGAGUUCACUGUGUUCUUGUCGAAUGAUAUUGAGUGAGACUAAAACACGCACCUUUACUGACAUCCAUACACCGAGUAACAGCAUCUCGUUGAUCACCAUCCUCCUGGGAUAAAAAAGACUCAACAUUGUCGUCGAGCGACCCAUCUUCCACAAAUCGAUCCAUAUCAGCCUGCAAAAUAGUCAAUUAUUGAUGCUGCUAAUUAUUCAUUACGAAAACAACUACACACUCCCAUCAACAGUUUAAGGAAACCCACCAACUGAUUGGAUGGAGAUGUAAGAGUCCCAGUUCCUUCAGUGCCAAACAUCAUCAUUGAUUUGGACGAACCACCACUGUGCGGCAGAUUAGGCAUAGAAAUCACAUCUCCAGGAGUAUGAGUUGAAGGUGUUGAAGGUGCUGAGCUUGGUGAUGGUCCCGCAGUGUUAGCUGUUCCUGAACUAUUAGCUGGUCCAGAAGACGAAACUGGUUGCUUUCUUUUCCUCCCAGUCUGAUUCUUCAAUACCUUCAGUUAAUUGCAAAAGAGUUUAGGAACUAACCUCAGCCUCACCAGAGACUAAAAACUUAUGUAAAAGAUAUUAUUGAAACAAGAAGUAGGAAAUGAUACAAGAAUAUAAGAGGAGACCUGUUCGUUUCCUCGAAAAGAAUUUGACAUGCUACCAUCCAUCGUAAUACUACCACCACCUCCCAGUUUAUCUUGUUGAUGAAUGUUGUGAUUUGAACUUUGUGGUUGCGGAUUUGAAAGGGCAAGCUGAUUAAGCGGCUGCGGCGGUGGCUGUGGCUGCGGCUGUGGUGUAUUCCCACCACUCUGCUGUUGAUGCUGCUGCUGCUGUAACAGAGCCAUCUUUAACUACAAAGCACAAUAAGUUGUUAAAACUUUAGAGCGUCAAGGCCAUUGAAAACGAUCAGAGAUUAUUAUAUCUUCCUCCAAUUAUAACACACAAUACUGUUAGAGUUUAUUCGAAGUUGUGUACUAUUGAAAAAACAUUAAAGCCAGCCACUUAAGAUUCGUAAAAAACGACGAGGCAUACCUUAAGUAGCAUGUCGGUGUCUCCACGUGGCAAAAGAGGGCCACCAGGUUGUAAAGACGAUCCAACAUUAGGUAAAACAUCCCCAACAGAACUCCCAAGGCCAUCCUUUCCAAGGCUCAUGCUCCUGUUGCUCAAUAGCAUUUUAAGUCUUCUGUUCUCUUCACUGACGGACUGUGAAUUCAGAUUCUGUUGAGCCAGCAUGAGCUGUUGCUGAUGUUGCGGAGUCAACAUGUUCAGUUGGUGAAAAGACUGAGGAGACUGCAUAAAUGGUUUUUGCUGCUGAAGAAGACCAGAACGAAGCUGAUCAAAUCCCUAAAUCAGGUAAGAAAGCAGCAGUCAGAAACAAUACUAUUUCGAGAGAAAGUAGUGAGUUUAAGCCAGAGAGAGAUGCAUGGGUAAAGCUUACAGUGAGAGGCCACCCUUUAAGUGUAAGGUUGUUGUUGCCUUGAUUUGAACCUAAAACAGGAAAACCAGCAUUAAUCAUCUUGUUAGCUGAGUGCUUUACAUUUGAUAUGCUUAACCUACUGAAAUAAUACAAGCAGGAAAGCAAACCUACCAGGAAUCCCAAUCAACGACCCUUCUGGAACAGCAGUUCUGGGAGUGAGAACGGGAUUGAUCUCACUUUUUAUAUCCUAAACCCAAAUAAUCCCAGCAAGAAUCAACUAACAGUAAACCUCUACAAGGGACUAGACACAACAAAGAUUUAAUAUUACGUACCACUGCAGACCCAGAGAGUUGCUGAUUUCGAGCUUGAACCUGUGGAGACAUACCACCACUUGUACUAUGUAAUACUUGCCUGUGAUUCACCAGUAAAUGGCAUUAGAAAAAGAGAGAUCGAAUUUGGUUGCAACAUAUUUAUCGACUAGGCAAGGUAGCAGAAGAUAUAAAGGAAACAAUGAAGGAAGUACGAGAACAGUACCCUGCAGGUUGUCCGGAAGCUGCAGCAGAUUUCAUUAUUGAUGCAUGAUUUGGAUCCAACAAUUGCCCAACAUUGUCCCCAAAUCGCUGUAGUCAUAGAAGUUUUGAAUUAUAGCAUCUGAUAAAACUUAGGUGUGACAAAAAGAAUAAAUGGAAUUUCAAGAUGCCUAGCCUACACUAACCUUCAUAGCAGCUUCAUCUAAGGAUUCCCUCUGAGAUGGCAUUUUGACCCUGUCCUCGUAUGCCUUACUUGCUAUGGAACUACCAGACCCAGGAUUUUGCCUCAUAACUGGAUCACUGUUAUUACCAGCAAGUCCAUUUGCUGAUCCAUUUGCAAGGUGGGACCCAUCUCUUCUCUGUGGCGGCUGCUGUGAUGUUGACUGCUGUUGGUGUUGAGACGCCGGCUGCUGCUGUUGCUGCUGCUGCUGCUGUUGAGAAGGUGGUUGGUUUUGAUGUUGUUGUUGUUGCUGCUGCUGCUGCUGUUGCUGUUGCUGUUGCUGAUGAUGAUGUUGUUGUUGCUGCUGUUGCUGUUGUUGUGCACGUUGUUGUAACAAGAGUUGCUGCAUUUGUAUUUGCUGCUGUUGUUGCUGCUGCUGCUGUGAAACCUGUGGGUGGUGAGAUUGUUGCAAUUGCUGUUCUCGCGCUUUGAUCAUUUGCGUCUGUAAACACACACACACACAAGUUUAAAUCUUAUCAACUUAACAUACCAAUACUAAUACUUAACCAAACAUUUCUGACUAUACAUAUACAACUUCUAAAUCUUCUCUUUAAACAGAAAAGACAAGAGAGAACAGCACUCAAUUGUAAGCAAUCAAGGUGAGCAACUCCAUAUCAUUAACAAAAAAGACUAUCGUAGCUUUGCACAGAUAUAGAAUCACUAAUAGUCUGGGUAACAAAGAAAGAGACCUCGAUGUAAGAUGCGGCAACCUCGGAAUGCUUCUCAUUGGUCCUGGCAAUAAAUAUAUCCCAGAAGACAGACCACCACUCAAACAGAAAUCCGCCAGGUGCGUCAAUAGCUACAAAACAAUGCAAGAAGAAUGUGAAGUUGAUUAGUAAAUAGAAACAGUUACAGCAUGAAAGAUCUUUAUCUGUAGUCAAAAAGGUCAAAGAGGAUUGUAAUUUCGUACCGACUGGAUCUGAUGACACUUUUCCUUCAGCUUGGAAAGCCUGAGCUGUGGCUUUUAAAUCUCUUUUAACCAGAUAAUCGUGGAUAUAGACAUCCAACCUGUUACACUCAACAACUUUUAAUCUUAAGCAGCAACACCCACAAGAUAAUAGUAUAUAACACAUCAAGAUCGGAAUAAGAAUUGUCUUAGAAAUCUCUCGACAAAGGGAACUCGCCAACGAGGAGCACAAAACUUAACAAUGUCCAAGAAACAAACCAUCCAGUUCGUAACAAAAACACCAAAAUCAGGAAACUUUGAUGAUGGAGCUUAUAGAAGUCACACACUUUGCAUACUGAAAAGAAAAGGAAAUUUGGGGCAGUAACAAAAUAAAUCUGAUGGCACAAGAGUCAACCAGAAUUGGAUAAACCAAAUAUCCAGAAAUUAUCAAGCUCUUUGACAGUGACUGACAACACAAAGAACUAAACUUUUGGCCAAAACAUGCAAAACUUCCCAAACCAAAAGUUCUCAACAACCACCAAAAUCUAGCAAGGAUGCUUUCUGAUAAUAGAAACUAGAGAACCCCGCAAAGUAACACAACCCCUCUAACGGAAAAACAAACCAAGAAUGUCAAAAAAGAGAAGAAAGCUACUAAAAAUGAGACAGCUUGAAAAAAAAAUGAUAUAAUAAGCUAACCCACAAAAUCAGCUGAAUCCAGAUAAAGUGUAAGCAAUAAGAUUUCGAAACCCUAGAAUCAAACUGUAGCUGGGGACGGGAAAAGGAAGAAGAAAAAAACAAUGCAUUUAAACAAUCUGAACCCUAGAAAUCACUUCAAAAGACCCAACAUAAAAAAAAAUGAACACUUUUAAAGUAGAAAGCAGUAAGGAAGUAAGUGAGUAAAAUCAAAACCCAUCAAAACGAAGAGAAGAAGAAAAAAGAGAAAGACUCACAUUUUAUCAGCUUCCCAGUUGGUCUGAGACAUCUCUUUUGUUCGAAGACAAAGACAAACCCCACAGACAGUUGUUUACAAUGUCAGAUUCCCAUGUAAUAACUAAUAAUGAUAUCCCUCCUUACAAAAUAAAGAGCUUCUUCCUCCCAAUCCUCUGAGAAAAAUUAUUGCACAGCAGAAACCAAAUUCAAUGAUUCUUUUCACCUCCCCACCUAAUUUCCCCUAGAAACUGACGAGAUUUAACACUUCAAAAUAAGCCAAACCAAAAGCCCCUCAAAAAAAAAAAAAAAAAAAUUGAGAAAUAAAGUAGAAGAAGGAAGAGGGAGAGAGAGGGAGAUGGAUACAAGUUUUUUUAGAGAGAGAAAGUUCGAGAGAAAGGAGAAAGCAUCUCUGUAAAAAAGCAUUAGAAGUAGCUCAGCUCUGUUAUUAAUAAUAGUAGCAACUAGCGAAUAUUAAUUAUUAAAUCCUUUUAUUUAUUACAGUCUAAAAUGAACCCAAAAAAAAAGUACAGAUUUUUUUUUUUUCACUUGAGCAAAAAGACAGAUUUUUCUCAGAUGAAUUUCUGUAUCAAUUCUUUUUUUUGUUUUUGUAUAAUUUGGAGAAAACGUGUUUUGCGGUAUAUUAUAAAUGAGUUUAUUUUAGUUAUAUUUCUUUCCUGGGUCAAGCUUUUUAAUUUAAGUUCAUAAAAAUAAAAUCUUGACCAUAACUAAGAAUUGUUUUUAAUAAUAUGAUUUUAGAACAAAAGUAGUUUCCACUUUCCAUGUCAGUUGUUUUGGGUGGACGGGAAUUGCAGAAGAGAUAUACACAACACACAUAUGAAAGUUUUAGCUUUAUCACUGUUAAUUUCCUAAACAGCCCUCGUAGAGAUGUGGUAUUUACGUGACGUAGCACGCCUUUCGCCAAAGUACUUUUGCUUUUAAUGACAAAAAUAACCUUUUUAUAAUCAAUUAUACUGAUUUGACCUGACCCCCAAAUCUCUCUUUCGUUGUAAAAACUUCUUCUCAAUUUAUUUAUUAUUACUCGAAUUCGUAUGUUUGUGUAUUAUAAAAAAAAAUUCCUAUAAGUUCAUUCUCUUUUGUUAAAUCUUUCUAUCAAUACAAAGGAAUUUUUUUCUAUUUUUUUGUUAAACCUUUCUAUCUAUGUGAAGUAAAUUCUUGUGAAUACAAGUCUUCUUAGACUACUUUUGGAAAACAAUUGAGGUUUUCUAAAUUAAAGUUUUAAAGCAAAGCAAACUAUGUGCUUCUCUUUUUUACUAAUACAAGACAUAAAAAGAUUACCAUUAAUUAUUAUUAUUAGAAUAGAAUUUUAUGAGAUAGUGAUGCGAGAUCCUUCUUUGAAAUAUUUAAAACUUAUAAAUUAGUCUACUAGAAAAAGAAAAGAAAAAAAAACUUCAACUGCGUCCGACAUUUAAAAACGAAUGAUCAAUUCAUCAGUAGUCAUCACCGAACAACUCACAUCACAACGGCGACUUUUUAAAUGUAUCAAAGAUUCAUUCACUAAAGGGCUUGCUACCUUAUGUGUAAGCGGGUGAGUACCACCAUAUAAAACCAUACUUGUCAAAUUAAGGAUCACGCUGAAUCUUUUUUUCUUUUUUUUUGUUGAAGAAAGGAGAAAGUCGCUUAAAUUAUUAAAUUAAUAUUAUUUGUCACAAAGAAAGUCGCACUUAAACAUGUUUUUAUCGACAUAUACACACAUACAAACACUUUAAAAUAAAAAUAAAAACAAAUUUGACCGAAAAUUUUGAGAAUAGUUUGAUGUUAGGCCCAACAUUGAAUCUCAAGUCCAUAGGAAGAAGGCCUUGCAUAACGCAAAUAGCAGAAUAAGGUAAUCUUUUAGAGGUUGCAAUUGCAUGCUUCUUUUAAGAAAAUGUUUUGAAAGUACGAAGAAAUAAUAGCAAGAGUUCAAGAAGUCAAAUUAUAUUCUCAUGACAACUCUACAAUUUAAGAGAUGACCCCCUACAACUACAAGGCUACAAAACAAACAAAGAAAGCUGUCAGUCUUGGACUAGCGGUCAACCAAUAUUUCUCAAAAUUUGCGGUCGUCAAGAUCUUUGUGCAUGUAAUCACAGGUUUUUAUUACUGUAUUUUAAAACAAUUCAUAUUUAUUAUAUAUCCAACAGAUAUUUUGUGUGGGGAAUCCUAUUAUAUAAUUUGUGAUUGCUAUACAAGUUUGCGAUGAAAAUACUUGUGUAGACUAAUUAACUUGAUGAUAUGCAAGAAAGCUUCUACCAAAGUUGUGAUGACAAAUUACUAGUAUAUUUUAAAAAAAAUUAAACUACAAGACAUGACUUAUACUGUAUUUGAAAUAUUGAAUACACUCAUUAUUGAGUAGAGUCUUGAAUCAGAUAUACAGUCAUAUGUGUUGUUGAUAAUGCCAUUCAAUAACCAUAUGAAUAUUAUAUGCAAUUGGAUGUAAUGUUGCUGACAUUACAAAAACGUCGAUGGCAGAGCUCUUUAUUGCUGAUAGAUGCAUUCAAAUAAGAAUAUGCUUGGGUCUCACACACUAACUAUCCAUAAUACUAUUCAUAUGUAUUGAAUUUUCUUUUCUGUAUUUUUCUUUUUGGUCAGCAUAAAUGGAAAUGAGACGUCACGUACGCAAGUGUUAAAUUCUCAUCCAAGUUUUUCUUUUGGAUUUUAAAUUAUAUUCCCAAGUUCAGAAGUUGAUCAUGUAACACCUCCAAGGACUCGCAAAGUUCAGACAAGAAAAAGUCAGCGUAGAGACUCGCUCACAGGCACAUCACGUGUAACUGAAUGAGCAAUAAGGUAAUUGGGCCAUAAAGACAAUCAAGCCCAAUUUAGAUAUGGGUUUCCGCGGAAAGUUGAAAGGAGACAAAUUUAAAGAUGAUACAUUAGAGGGCUAUAUAUAGCUUAAUCAAUCAAAAGUAAGACCACUCAUUUUUGUUUUCUCUUCGGCCACUUAAAGUUCUUUUAGUUUUUAAGGGUUGGCCACCCUAUCUUUAAGACCCACCAAACUUGUUGUUUUAAUGUUUACAAAUUAUUUCUAUACCGCUUUACAUAUUAUCAAGGUAACCACACUGUGGGAGGAACUAUUUUUUUUUUUUUUUUUUAAUUAGAACCACAAUUACCCAGCGAAUCAAAUGAUCUAAAAAUUUAUGAUAACAUGAUGAAACCUUGUAACCAGAAAUAGCGCUAUAUAUAUAUAUAUAUAUAUAUAUAUAUGUCAGCUGGGAAGUACAAAUUAAAACAUCAUAGGCAAGAGUGAGUUGUGUUAUAACUUUUAAGCAACCAAGCUUUGAGUUUUACCAGCUAGUGCAGUCAACA
rnacentral:lncRNA from 1 species